CCCUCGUCGGGAGAAGUAUGAUGUGUUUAUCAAUUUCAGAGGCGAGGACACCCGCGAUGGUAUUACCAGCCAUCUUCAUGCUGCCUUACUUCAGAAGAAAAUUGAAACCUACAUAGAUAACAGACUUCAAAAAGGAGAAGAAAUCGGACCUGCCCUUCAAGAGGCAAUCGAGAAAUCCACACUUUCGGUGAUCAUUUUCUCACAAAACUAUGCUUCUUCCACAUGGUGUUUGGAUGAACUCGUGCAUAUACUCGAAUGCAAGAAAAUAUAUGGUCAUAUGGUUAUACCCGUAUUCUACGACAUCAAUCCAUCUGAUGUACGAAAGCAACACGGGAGUUAUGCGGGUGCAUUUGCUCAACUUGAAAAACGUUUCAAGGACAAUAUUGAUAAGGUGCACAAGUGGAGGGAUGCUUUGAAGACCGCAGCCGAUUUGUCUGGGUUUGAUUAUUCAAACAAACGCGGGUAAGUAACUCAUUUCUCUAACUUGUAUAAAAUUAUAAAUUUUCUUUAAACUUGUGACAAUUUGAUUUGUCCUAAGAUUUGGUAAAGCAUUACUCUAUUUUAAACUUGGGGAUUGGUGGCACUGUAGCUUAGCUACAAUGCAAUUGAGAGGGGAGAUUUUGGUUUUAGCAAGACUUCAUGGCCACACACUGCUGCAGGUCGAAAAAUUUGUCAUGUAAUUAAAAUCAGAUCCUAAAGGAGAGUGGAAUUUUUUUUGUAAUUUAGAGAACAACAUCACAUCAAAGUAAGUAGCAUGUAAUAUAAAUAAUGGAACAAAAUAGAACAUUUUAAUAGACGGCGUAAUCACAAAAUAUAAUGUCUUCAAUUUUUAUAAGAAACGGAUGUAGCAUAGUUCAGUUAGCUUUUUGAACUUAUUUACAACUCUAUUUACACAUAUUUCCAACAACUCUAUCAGCACAUAUAUGUACAAUCAUAUUUACAAUUCUAUUUACACAUAUACUAAUCAGCCUUUUCGAACUUCCUUGAUCAACACAUACAAUUUUUUUUUGCCCUGAUAGGUCUGCUUCUAUGUUCCAAAUUGAAAAAAUAGAAGUUGUUAGUGUAAAUCAAUGAUAUUUUAGUGAAGAUGAUGGAACAAAAGUGUAAUUAUUGAGGAGAGAUUUUCUUAAUUGCUAAAAGUAGUUGAAUACUCUCUCAAGUGCGUUUAAUAAUAUACAUUAAAAACAAAUAUAUGUUGAUGUACAAAUUUAAGUGUACCGUGAGGAGAAAAAUAAAAUUUCUUAUGCUCAUAAAUAAUUAAAACUGACAUAUGUUAAAGCGUACAUAUAAGAAGAAAGUGGACCUUUUUAAUUGUUCAUAUCACAUUUUCCACUAAGCUGACCACAAUAAACUUUUCUAUCACAAUUCUUUGCAUGCAAGUAUGAAUAAAGGUUAACUAAUGUGAUUAUUUUCAUCCUAUUGUAAAUGGAAAUAUAAACAUUCAUUUUGCUGAAUUGUACACUUGAGAGAAAAAUAUGCAUAAAUGUAGAAAAAGAUUUAUAAGAUCUUAAAAAGUGUAGACAAUGAGUAGCAAUUACCCUUCCCACUUAACUUGUGAACGAAAAGGAGGAAAAAGUAAACCAAUGACUGGGUAUUCAUUUUUUGUGUCACUGUUCUUAUUAUAUUUGAAGCAAGCAACCAAACAGCAUAUGAUUAUUCCAAUUUCGAUCCAACCAUCACAAUCCCCAACCUGAGGGAUUUUAAUGAAUUUAUAAAUCCAUGGAUUUUGAUGGAAUUUAAUUUGUAGAGAUGUCAUGUAAAAUUUUAAUUAACUAUCUAAAAUUCUGAUUGAAUGCAUAUUGAAUUUUAGAGGAUUACUUAAAAUCCUAAUUGAAUAUUCAUAAAUUCAUUAAAAGAAUUAAAAUUAAAAUUAAAAUUUCAAUUGAAUACACCCCCUAAAUCUCACGAUUACCCAAAACACAACGCUAAAAACUUUACUCAGUGAGUCUCCAAUCUAAUUACAACUCUGGAGUAAGUACUUCCUGAAGAAUAUGAACUUAUAGAUAUAAAUAUAUCCAAUAAAGCAGCAUAUGUAGUGAAAUUUAGGAUCAUUUGAUUGAACAGCCAAAACAUUCGAUCUUACACAAAUGAAUACUGCUGCAACCUAUAACCCAUUCAAAAAUUACUAUUGGAAAAGCAGCCAAACUAAUGAAAAGGAGAUAAAAAGGAAAAUACUAAUAUUCACCUCACACGAAACGAGGAGAGAAAAAUGAAAAUACUAAAUACUGAACUAACACAAAAACAAAACGGGAAAACACACAGAUUGCAGACCCUUCCCAUUUGGCAACUGAAAAUGUGUCAUGCCAAUUAUAAUAAAAGUAUACUUGAAAGACGAAAGUGUAAGCAUGCACCAAUAAUUCGAUUUGAACGACGUUGGAUUUAGCAUUCAUCUAUAGACGUCGUCUAGGUCAAAUUUCUUUCCUAAAAUAAUCAUUUCAAAGUGUAUUUCCUCAAUGAGGAACAAUUACAAAGAGAAAAUAAUGUCUGCUUUUUAUUAAGACGCUUGUAAAAUUAGUUAUAGAAUUAGUUAUAGAGUCGUUGUCCAAGAUUUUCAUGUUUUAUAUCAACAAACACUAAAAUUGGGUUACUUGGUAUAUCGACGGUGAUAGAGAUAAUACAUAAGGUUGGAAUGCAUAGGAUGGUGACACUUGUAAUAAGAUUAGAGAAGUUAAUUAUGGUUGUUAGGAUGUAUAGAUGUGAAGAUUCUUGUAUAAAUGCCCUUAUGAUGUAAUAGCUUGGAUGCUAAGAAAACAAAUAACAAGAAUUAGUUUCUCUCUCUUUCUCUCUUCAAGUUUCUCUCGGAUUCUCUCUCUUUCUCUCUCUAGAUUUUCCGCAUUCAAGCUUCUUCUUCUUGGUUAACAUGGUAUCAAUCGCCAUUAUUGCUGCUGCAUUUCUCGAUCCUUGACUCAGCUUCCACUCUUCAACUUCAUCUUCUCCGAUCGUCUUCUGGGAAGCUGUGAUCACUUCCGACGAGCUCCGAUCAGCCUCUUUUGCAAGAUUUUAGGGUUUCACGGAGCUUCUUCUGCAAGAUUCUAGGUUUUCAAGAAAGUGUUCGUCGUGCUAGCUUCUCUUCUACUCGCAGUUCUUGGUUUGAUCUCUGCAAAAAUGGUAACUGCUUCUCAACUUCAGCUUGUUCAGUCACCGAUAACUGCUCUAAUUUCUACAAUUUCUACGCCAGUCAAUGUGAAACUUGAUGAUUCAAAUUAUCUUAAUUCUCAUUUUCAAAUGCAAUUAUUGCUGGAAAGUAAUGGUAUUAUAGGAUUUGUUGAUGGCUCAACCCCUUGUCCUGCACGAUUUAGGUCGAAUUCUGGUGAAUCAGGUGUAAAUUCUGGUAAUUCAUCAACUAUCACAGAAACUGAUGAAUAUACUCUGGAAAUUGCAUGAUCGUGCACUUAUGUAGCUCAUUAUUGCCACAUUGUCUCCAAUUGCUAUGUCAUGUGCCAUUGGUAGCUCUAGUUCCAGGGGAUUAUGGACUAGACUUAAGGAACAAUUCUCCACUGUGUCAAAGACUAGUAUCUUUCAGAUGAAGUCUAACCUCAAACCAUCAAGAAAGGUUCCGAUUAUGUGACACAGUAUUUGCAAAAAAUUUAAGAAGCUCGUGACUAUUUGUCAACCGCUGGUGUGUUUCUUGAUGAUGAAGAUAUUAUUAUCUUGGCUCUCAAUGGCCUACCUCCAGAGUACAAUACAUUUCGUAAUGUUGUGAGAGGUAGAGAAAAUGUCAUGACAAUUAAAGAGUUUCGGUCUCAAUUACUUGCUGAAGAAACAAUUGUAGACAAUCACAUUAAUGGUUCAUUUCUCUCUGCCAUGGUUGCUAAUACUUCUGCAGCUAUGCAUAAAGGUUCCAACAUACCUCAUUAGUCUUUUACCUCUGGUGGUGGUCCAUCAUAUCAUCAUAAUGGGGGUCAGCCAUAUGUUGUGUCUGGAGGGUUCAAGUCUUUUAACGACAAGAACAAAAGGCAAAAACAAAUUUAAUACAGCACAACGAUAUUACAAUCUUCGGUUAGUGUAUCCUACACAAACUCAUGUCUUACCUACACCUACUCCUAGUGUUCUUGGACCAUCUCCAAACCAGUUUGCAAGUCCCUCAUCACCUCCAUUGCAGACGUGCCAAUUAUGUAAUGCUACAGGUCACAUUGCCCCUUAUUGUUUUAAUAAAUCUUCUGACAGACAAUAAUGUCAAAUAUGUGGUAAAUUUAAUCAUACCACAUGGUAUUGCUUUUACAAUGAAAAGGGACCUCAGUUUGCUUCAAGGGCAUGUGCUUCAAUGCAGGGCAACUCCUAUCAUGGCCCUCAUGUGAUGUCUAAUUCUCAGCCAUCUUCUUCACAUUCACAACUGGGUCUGUAACAUCUACUUCUCAGUCACCACAAGUGUGGUUGACAGAUUCAGGAGCUACUAAUCAUAUGACAGCUGAUCUUAACAACCUGUUUCUAGCUUCACCUUAUCCCAAUAAUGAAGUUGUUCAAACUACUAAUGGUGAAGGUUUGAGAGUUUCUCACAUUAGCAUUUCUAUACUUACAACUCCUGUCAAUUCUAUCAAGUUGAAUUCCAUUCUUUAUGUUCCUAAAUUGACACAACUUACUGUCAGUUCAUAGGAUUUGUUUGGAUAACAAUUGCUAGCUAAUCUUUGAUGCAUUUUGUUUCUGGAUUUAGGACAAGGCCACAGGGAGAAUUCUGUACAAAGGGCGUUGCAGUAAUGGACUCUAUCCCAUUCAGUCACUCUCCACUCGUUCUCAUAUACACCAGUCUUCUCAAUCUCCAUCUGUUGUUUAUCUUGGUCAGCUUGUUGGUUCUAGCUUAUGGCAUAAUAGGUCAUGACAUCCAUCCAAUCAUAUAGUUUCAUUACUACUUAAACAAGCUAAUAUCACAUGUAAUAAAGACACAACUUCUGCUGUGUCAAAGUUGUCUCGAGGGAAAAACUACAAAGUAACCAUUUUCUUCUUCCCAUAAUAAGUCUGUCAUACCCUUUGAAAUUGUACACAGUGACCUUUAGGGUCCUGCACCAUGUACUUCGAUUGAUGGCUAUAAAUACUAUGUUACCCUUAUUGAUGAAUGCACUCACUUAUGUUGGUUGUUUCCUUUAUCUCACAAAUCAGACUUUUAUGAUGUGUUUGUUACAUUUUGUGCAUUUGUUUCAACUUCUGUGAAAAUCUUGUAGAGUGAUGGGGGGGGGUGACACUUAUAAUAAGAUUAGAGAAGUUAGUUAUGGUUGCUAGGAUGUGUAGUUGUGAAGAUUCUUGUAUAAAUACCCUUAUGAUGUAAUAGUUUGGAUGCUAAGAAAACAAAUAACAAGAGUUAGUUUCUCUCUCUCUCUCUCUCUCUCUCUUCAAGUUUCUCUUGGAUUCUCUCUCUUUCUCUCUCUAGAAAUAUAUGGUGUUAUAACUUUUAGUGUAUUUUUUUAUUUACAUGAGAAUUUUUUCGACCCGCCUUUAAGACUAACUAUUGCUUUUUUUUUUCUUUCUCUCUACAUAAUCAUACAUAUAUAUGCUAGGACGGAGGCAAAUCUAAUUAAGAAUGUUGUCGAUCAUAUUUGGACAAAAUUGAAUUGUGAACCAUCAUGUGAUUUAGAGGCCUGGUUGGAAUUGAAAGCCGCAUCGAGCAAAUUGAAUCGCGAUUGGGCAUUCAUUCAGAGGACGCUUGCAUCACUAUAGGUAUUUGGGGCAUGGAUGGUAUUGGCAAGACCACCCUUGCUGAAACUGUAUUUCACAGACUCUCUUCUAAUUUCGAAGGUUCUUGUUUUCUACAAAAUGUCAGGGAGAAAUCAGAAAAACCAGAUGGACUAGAUCGUUUGCAAAAUCAACUUCUGAGUGAGAUAUUCAAGGAAGAAUGCCUAUCCAUAGGAUCACCUGGUGUUCAAAAUAGGCUCAUCCGCACAAAGGUCCUCAUUGUUCUUGAUGAUGUGAGUAGCUCAAAGCAAAUGCAACGUUUAGCUGGCGAUCAUCUUCGGUAUGGCACUGGAAGUAGAAUCAUUAUCACAAGUAGAGAUAGGGGCACACUUAGACAAACUGUUGAAGAGGAUAAUAUCUAUGAGGUUGAGCUAUUAAAACCAGAUGACGCUCUUCAGCUCUUCUGUUUGCAUGCUUUCAAGAAUAACACUACUCGUAGAACAGAUUAUAAGGAGUUGGCAAAAAAGACUGGGGGUUAUGCCAGAGGCGUUCCUUUAGCUCUUACAAUUCUAGGGUCUUUGUUCUUCAAUUGCAAGAGCAAAGAAGACUGGGAAGAUGAAUUCAACAAAUUGAAACAAUUUCCCAAUGAAGAUAUCCAGAAAGUGUUGAGAAUAAGUUAUUAUAGAUUGGAAGAAAAUGAGAAGCAGAUAUUUCUGGAUAUAGCAUGUUUUCAUAAAGGGAAGGAAGUGAAGGAGGUAAAACGAAUGUUAGCUGUUCGUGGAUUCUUUGCGACAGUCGGAAUUAGAAUUCUCAUUGAUACGUCUCUCAUAUCAAUUUAUUCAGAUAAAUGGAAAGGGGAAAUCAUAGAGAUGCACGAUUCACUACAAGAAAUGGGAAGGACAAUUGUUCAAGAACAAUGUAUUAAAGAUCCCGGUAAACGAAAUAGGGUUUUCAUAGAUGAGGAUGUCUAUCGUGUGCUGAAGAGUAACACGGUAAGAGCCAAAUGCAUUCAAUUUUUUUUCUUUUCUUUUUUAGGAAAAAAUAAAUAACAAACUUUAGAUGAUAACAAAACAAAGUAAAACUCAUUUAUAAUAAAGAAGUCAGAUUCUUAAAAAAUUAACUUGAUUGAAUUUUUAUUGCAAAAAUGUUAUUCUUACUAUCUAUCUAUACUAUCAUUUGUACCUUCUCUCUUAUAGAGAUGAAACUCACAUGCAUUGGCGGGUUCUACCUCUAUUUGAAAGAUGAUACAACUAGGUGGUAAGAAUAACACUACUAUUUUUAUUUUGCUAGGAAGUCUGUAAUUUUUAAUAUAUUAUUACAUCAUCACCAUCGUAAGUACUCUAGACUAUUCUAUAACUUUGUUGAAUUCUUUUUCCAAAUAAGCAUUACAUCUUAACAUCGUUGAAAAUAUAUACAUUUAAACUUUGUUCUUAUUGUCAGGGAACUCCAAUUGUUGAAGCUAUAUUGCUUAACUGGCAUAACAGUGAAGUGCGACCAUUGAAACGUGCAGACUUCAAACUGAUGUCAAACCUAGUAGCGCUAAGUGUGCAUUCUCGAAUAUUUGACUGCAAAUCCACCGCUUCUCUAGACCUUCCUGGUUCUCUUCGUUACCUUUACUGGAAUAGAUAUCCACUGGAAUCUUUGCCGUCAAAUUUUUCACCGGAAAAUCUAGUUGAGCUUCAUAUGCCAUGUAGCGAAGUUAAGAAGCUUUGGAAAGAAGACCAGGUAUAUUAUAUGCCUAUUUUAAUUCUUGUAUAAAAUUAGGUGUAGAAAUUAUAUUAAAUCUUGAUAUUUCUCUCUACUCUUGUUACAGAGACUUGUGAACUUAGAAGUGAUCGAUUUGCAGUACUCUACAAAUCUCACUGAAGUUCCAAAUCUCUCUGGGAGUCUAAAAAUUGUGCACAUAGAUCUCUCUGGUUGUGGAAGUUUGGCUGAAAUUCCAGGGUAUUUUCAAGAUCUUGGCAAGCUUACUCAUCUUCAUCUUGCACUCUGCACUAGUCUCAAGUAUCUUCCAGAGAUGCCAGGAAAUAUUAAAUACUUAGAUUUAUUGGGCAGUGGUAUAAAGGAGUUGCCCCAAUCAGUUUGGUCUCACGAAAAAAUUUCUUACUUGAAUAUAAGUCAUUGCAGAUACCUUGAGAAACUUCCAAGCAACAAGUGUAAACUGAAAAUCUCUGGUUCUUUUAAUCUAGAUUGGCACACAUCUCUUGGCGAGUUUUCUGAGCUUCCCAGGGAUAUAAGUAAAUUAUCAUUGGUUGGUUGCAAGAGACUUGUGAGUCUACCAACCAACAUUUGGAAAUUGAAAUAUCUUGAGGAACUCAAUCUCUCCAACUGCUUUAAACUUGAAAACUUCCCAAAGAUUUUGGAGCCAAUGGAACAUUUGAAGUCCUUAAAUUUAAGUGGAACAUCAAUUAAAGAGCUACACUCAUCAAUCGAGUUUCUCCCUGCACUCAAAAGAAUUCAACUACAAGGUUGCAAAAGGUUUUCAAGUAUCCCAAAGAGCAUUUGUAAGUUGAAGUAUCUUGAGGUACUCGAUUUCUCUUUGUGCUCCGAACUUGUAAACUUCCCAGAGAUUUUGGAGCCAAUGGAACAUUUGAAGUCCUUAAAUUUAAGUGGAACAACGGUUAAAAAGCUACACUCAUCAAUCGAGUUUCUCCCUGCGCUCAAAAGAAUUCAACUACAAGGUUGCAAAAGGUUUUCAAGUAUCCCAAAAAACAUUUGUAAGUUGAAGAAUCUCGAGGUACUCGAUUUCUCUUUGUGCUCCGAACUUGUAAACUUCCCAGAGAUUUUGGAGCCAAUGGAACAUUUGAAGUCCUUAAAUUUAAGUGGAACAACGAUUAAAGAGCUACACUCAUCAAUCGAGUUUCUCCCUGCGCUCAAAAGAAUUCAACUACAAGGUUGCAAAAGGUUUUCAAGUAUCCCAAAAAGCAUUUGUAAGUUGAAGAAUCUUGAGGUACUCGAUUUCUCUUCGUGCGCUGAACUUGAAAACUUCCCAGAGAUCUUGGAGCCAAUGGAACAUUUAAAGUCCUUAAAUUUAAGUGGAACAUUGGUUAAAGAGCUACACUCAUCAAUCCAGUUUCUUCCUGCGCUCAUAAGAAUUUAACUACGAGGUUGCAAAAGGUUUUCAAGUAUCCCAAAGAGCAUUUGUAAGUUGAAAUAUCUAUGUCAUUUAAGAAAAUUUGGGAGAAGAAAAAAAGCCUCGUUGUAAGACCUAGAGAGCAGAAGCAAUCCUACUGGCUACUGCUGUGGUAUCAAAGAUCUGUGUGAUCAUUAUGUUUCAAAGAUCUUUUCAAAAUGAAUCUAAAAUUCUGGACUAACCUCUACAUGCUACAGAAAGGGUCUUUACAAACCUUAAAAAAAAGCACAAAAGACAACUUAUAGGUAGACACCAUAAAUUUACAGGUUCAGGCAGCUCAUCUAGCUUCCCAUACUUGCAAAAUCCAUCAAUAAGUCACGGGUCUCUUUAACCUGAUGUUAUUGGUUUAGUUUAAGAAAGAACUAAUUUAGCUGGCUAAAAUGACUAAAGUAGUGAACCUAUAAGUGGCCAUGUUUUAUCAUUUCUUAUAUUCCUGAUAGUUUAGCUGGCUAAAAAAACUAAAUAGUAGUGAACGUAUAAGUCCUUCGCGAGUUUUCUGAGCUUCCCAGGGAUAUAGGUAAAUUAUCAUUGGUUAAUUGCCAUAAACUUGUGAGUAGCAACAAAUAUUUGUAAGUUGAAAUAUCUCAGAGGAACUCGAUCUCUCCUAUUGCUUUAGACUUUAAAACUUCCCAAAGAUCUUGGAGCCAAUGGAACAUUUGAAGUCCUUAAAUUUAAGUAAAACAGCGGUUCAAGAGCUACACUCAUCAAUCCAGUUUCUCCCUACACUCCAAAUAAUUCAAUUACAUGAUUGCAAAAGGCUUUCAAGUAAUCCAAAGAGCAUUUGUAAGUUGAAAUGUCUCAAGCAUCUCGAUCUCUCUUCGUGCUCUGAACUUGAAAACUUCCCCGAGAUCUUGGAGCCAAUGAAAGAUUUGAAGUUCGUUUAAGUGGAAUAGCGGUUCAAGAGCUACACUCAUCAAUUGAGUUUCUCCCUGCGCUCCAAAUAAUUGAAUUACAUGAUUGCAAAAAGUUUUCCAAGUAUCCCAAAGAGCAUUUGUAAGUUGUAAUAUCUAAGUCAUUAAAUAGAAAAUUUGGGAGAAGAAAAAAAUUGUUGAUUUCAUUCUAGGUAAAAAAAAAAAAGAAAAAAAAAGUCCCGUUGUAAGACCUAGAGAGCAGAAGCAAUCCUACUGGCUGCUGCUGUGGUAUCAAAGAUCUUUGUGAUCAAUAUGUUACAAAGAUCUUUUCAAAAUUCUGGACUAACCUUAAAAAAAGCACAAAAGACAACUUAUAGGUAGAUACCGUAAAUUUACAGCUUGAGGCAGAGUAAGAUAGCUCAUCCACAACAAACCAAAAGGCACUUAUGCGGAAAAAAAAAAACUUCUGACUGAAAGAGUUUUCAAGUAACCAUUUAUCUUAUACGUCAUAAAGAAAAUUCGCUUUACAAGAAAUAGAAAGCAUCAUGAUAAGGAACUACCGGACACUGUGGUGACUCCUUAACAGACAAGUCCGCCAAACCAUUUAAUAUAAGAUACACAAACAAAAAAUCCGUUCAAGUAGUUGUACAUGAGUUCCAAUAUAAUCACAUUUUCUUAAUUCAAUCCUUUGAAUAGUCAAUAAUGGCUUGAAGGUCCAUGCACAGAUGCAACACUCAUAAAAUCAACAUGCAGAUUAUACAGAAACAAAUAGACUUGUUACUGUGCUUCCUUAAUUGUGUAUGUGCUCGCACAACACAAAAUGUCACAUUAAAUUCAACACUUUUCAAAAUUAAAACCAUUAACAUAGAAGAAGUAGUUCAAUGUUUUAUCUAUUCAAUAUUUCUUAAUUGCAAAUUAGAUGUUCUCCGUGCACAUUUCUUAGUUUGAGGUUUAUUUUGUUUGUACCAUACUUGACCAAUCUUGAAACUAUUGAGCACCGGUCAACGUUAUACCGUCAAGGAUCCAGAAGAGUUUCCCUCAAACUAGGAGGCCAAUCAUAGCGCGACAUGUGUCGACAUCAGAAGCCAAUUAUAGCGUGACACGUGUCAACAUCAGAAGCCAAUCACAACAUGACACGUGUCAAUGUCAAAACAAAGCUAGAAACUCUCUUCUAUAAAAGAAGAUCAUUCUCCCACAAUAUUUCCUAAUGUCAUUUGUACUAAAUCAUUCACUAGUACUCACUAAAGGAGAGCUUGAACCUAUGUACUUGUGUAAGCCCUUCACAAUUAAUGAGAACUCCUAUACUCUGUGGAUGUAGCCAAUCUGGGUGAAUCACAUACAUUUUGUGUUUGCUUCCCUGUCUCUAUCCAUUUACAUACUUAUCCACACUAGUGACCGGAGCAAUCUAGUGAAGGUCACAAACAUAACACUUUCUGUUGUACCAAAGUCCCCACUGAUUUUGUGCAUCAACAUUUGACACCGUCUGUGGGAACGACACUUAUUCCCACUCUCUUCAGCUUUGUUAAACUGGUUUCCACCAUUCAUACACUCUCUUUUGACCAGGCAUCCUUCUCCAACAUGGGGAGCGAAGGAAGCCAUAGCACGUAGAAUGACACCACUCUUGCACUUGGUGCAAGGCAAUGAAAGAAGGAAGGAGAUAGGGUUGCUCUUCAAGCCAAAGUCGAUGAGUUAGAAGCUCAGAACAACAAGAUAGCAAUGAAGAAUGAGGUCUUCCAGGAGCAGUAUGAGAAGCUCUUUGAGACGCUUCACGAAACUAGGCGUACUCAAACACAUGAGCUCCUUACCCCUAUGGACAUCAACCAUCAUCUGGGUGCCCCCCAACACGGAGGGUCACCUUCCUUCGACAUGGGUAUCCCUGAUGAGGAGCGAGUUAAUCAUCAAAACAUUGAUCAACAUGAGACUUCUCUCAACCCAGCUACUUCGACCUGAAGCAGGAGAAGUGGAGGAAGACACCUCCUUAUAGAAUGAGUGGAAGGAUCGAAAGCCAUCUUUCGCGAUUAUUGAGAUUUCCUAAAGCAACGUCGAGACAAUCCCAUCCAUGUAAGCUCGAAGAUCAAUGACCCAAAGGUCUCUAGAAGACUCGGUCCCCUCCCAUGUCCCAGGCUGGCUAUUUGGGGAAGGGGCAACAAGUCCUAGAGAAACACAAAGGUAUAGGGGACUCAGAGAUGUUCCGACAGACAUACCUUGGAAGUCAAUAUGGCGAGUCCAGGGAAAAAUCACAUGCUCUUGAUCAAACCUUCAUACUUCUAAGAGGAGAUGGAGAUUUAUGAAAGAAAGCUCCAGUGGUACAUGACUCCACUCAGGACCCUCUUGUCCUAUAGCUCUUUAAAGAAGUAAACAAGUUGAAGGCCGAACGACAAGCUGAGAUACAUGAUUGGAACCAACCUAGGCCUGGCCCUUUUACAAGGAGGAUCCUCGACACCCCCUCAAAGCAAAGACAAAGCAGAAGCUUGGCUUGGAACUUUAUACUGGAAAGGAGGACUCGAUUGAACACCUUACCCUCUUUGAGUCCACCAUGGCAUACUGGAUACACACAGACGAAAAGCGAUGUCUUCUCUUCCCCUCCACCCUCUCUGGCGGAACUCUAAACUGGUAUUGCCGUCUUUCACUUGAGACGGUAGACUUAUUUGAGGAAUUGAGGAAAUUGUUUGUUUCUCAAUACAUUUUCCAGAUCGAUCGCUUGCACUCUACGGAUGACUUGCACAUUAUUCGCCAGAAGCCAGACGAGUCAUUAUGUAUGUAUGCUGGCCGCUUCAGCCAUGAGUAUUCCCGUUGUGCCGAGGCAGAUGAUAAGACUGCCCUCAAAGCCUUCACGGCAGGCCUACGUGAUUGUUUCUUCAAGUACACGAUCAAUGCCAACACUUGGAAGACUUACUCUGAGGUGAUGGCACAUGCUUACAACCAUGCCUCCGCUGAGGCAAGGACAUAUCAAGGGAAACCCUCCACAGCCACCCCUUAUCAGCAAGUAGGGAGUGGAAGCCAUAUCCAACCAAAUGAGAAGAACUCAACCUUCCAAUCUGCAGCGGUGCUUCCCCCUGCCUUACUUAAUACUUCACCAAGUCAACAGACAUAUCAAUCUCAGGGCAAAAGGAAAGAUUUUCAUCCUCACCAGUCUCAUUUUAGUAAAGGAGUAAGAGACACUAUUGCGAUAACCAAGGGUAUCGCCAUGAUAAUGCCUGCUCCUAGGCAGUCAACACAGUGGGCCAAACACGUGUCAGGAUAGGCUCUACCCCGAGGUAUGAGACAUACACACCUUUGAACGGCACAUGCGUGGUCAGUUACCCCAGCAUAGCACACCUGAUACUGAAGCCAAUGCCGAGGCAGUCGGGUUACAAGCCCACGAAGAACACGGGCACAUUUUGCUGCUACCACGAGCAUAACAGCCAUGACGGCGAGAAGUGUAUCACUCUUCGUGAUUAUAUUGAAGCUUUGGCGCGUGAAGGAAAAAUUGAUCGAUUCCUCCUUCACUAUUCAAGGGGUAACCGUAACUAACACCAAAUGUAUGUGAUAUAUUCUAUAAGCGGCUGCACACCCAUAUCCGAAUCUUCCAAUAGGGCCAUGAAAAAUAGCGAACGAGCUUUAAGGCCUGGCCACCAAGUGUUUCACGUGGAAGAUAUCAGGGAAGGCAAGUAUCAAAAGUCUAACUGGGAUCCAAUAUGUUUCUACCCUGAGGAAGAAAGAGGUAUCAUCUACCCUCACAACGACCCACUGAUUGUGGAGGCUCACAUAGCCAACUUUGAAGUAAGACGAAUCCUAGUAGACAUGGGGGUUUCGGUCAAUAUCAUGUUUGCUGAAGCUUUCAGGGCACUUAAUGUAGCUGAACACUUGCUCGAUCGCUCGAUUUCUCCUCUGAUAAGCUUCUCCGGUGAUAUCGUGCAACUUAUAGGGAGCAUACACUUACCUUUCACCAUUGGUACAUGCCCUUACACAGCUACCAUUACCACUAACUUCCUGGUAGUUGAUUGCCCAACGAUAUACAAUGUCAUCUUUGGAUGCUCAUGCAUCAAUGAUCUCAAGGCCAUGGUAUCCACACAUAUGUUAUUGAUGAAAUUUCCAACCUCCUAUGGCAAUGGUUACAUCAGAGGAGAUCAAUUUAGUGCACGGUCAUGUUACAACACUUCGGUCAAGCAACAACACCUGCCUGUGCCCAAGGAAACCUUUUCUAUACAUGACCAAGUCAUAAAGACGAGCCCAGACGAAGCCAACUUGGAUCUUCACGGUGGCAACAGUCAACCCGACGAUCCUCGAGAUGACUCUUUCACCCAACAAACACAACCCGUUGAAGAGUUAGAGAAGGUUUCUAUAUCAAAAGAUUAUCCAGAUCGCAUGGUGAAGAUUGACACCACUUUGUCACCACCCAUUCGGUUGGCAUUGAUCUCUUUUUUGCAAGAGAACAUUGAGGUCUUCGCCUGGUCAUAUGAGGACAUGCCAGACAUCUCUCCCGAUAUCAUAUGUCAUCGCUUGAGUAUUGACCCCAAGACCAAGCCGGUGAGACAGAAGCAAAGAUCUUAUAACGCUGAAUGAUACGAAGCAAUGAAGGCAGAAGUUGAAAAGCUCAAAGGCAUAGGUUUCAUCCGCGAAGUUAAUUACCCAACAUGGGUAACAAAUGUGGUUAUUGUUAAGAAAAAUUCGACCAAAGAAAGUCUCUUGCUCCAAAAGGUCUUGUGGAUAAUGUGUGUCGACUACACUGACAUAAACAAAGGAUGCCCGAAUGAUAGCUUUCCUUUUCCUCUCAUUGACAGACUUAUAGACUCUACGGCAGGGUGUGAACUGCUGAGCUUUAUGGAUGUUUACUCAAGAUACAACCAAAUCCUCAUAAACCCUCCGGACCAAGAACACACAACCUUCACUACUGACAGGGAACUAUAUUGCUAUACAGUCAUGCCCUUUGGCCUAAAGAAUGCAGGAACGAUUUAUCAGAGACUAGUCAAUUCAAUGUUCGCCGAACAGAUUGGGAAGAGCAUGGAAGUUUACGUUGAUGAUAUGCUAGUCAAGAGCAAACAUGCUGACCAACACAUCGCUAACCUAUCUGAAACUUUCACCAUUCUGAAGUGGUAUCGAAUGAGGUUGAACCCUAAAAAAUGUACCUUCGGCGUAGGCUUUGGCAAAUUCUUAGGCUUCAUGAUAAGCCAACGAGGCAUUGAGGCAAAUCCUAAGAAAAUCAAAACAAUCCUCGACAUGAAGGAACCAGUAACUUCAAAAGACAUCCAAAGCCUUACUGGCAAGAUGGCAGCUUUAAUUAGGUUCAUCUCUAGGGCCACAGACAGAUGUGCACCUUUCUUCAAAGCACUUAAGGGAAGUAAGAAGUACAUUACAUGGACUGAUGAAUGUGCCAAGGCAUUCAAGAACCUCAAAGACUACAUGAGUAAAGCCUAUCUGCUCUCCAAAUCUAAGGUUGGUGACACUCUCAUUAUCUAUCUUUCGGUAUCGGCUUUAGCAGUAAGUUCCGUUCUCAUUCGAAAGAAUGGUAAUGUCGAACGACCUGUCUAUUACGCUAGCAAGGCUUUACAAGAUGCAGAGACAUGAUACUCCAACAUUGAGAAAUUGGCUCUAGCAUUGGUCAUGUUUGCUUGAAAACUUCGCCCUUAUUUCCAAGCACACUUCAUCAUCGUGCUUAUCAAUCAUCAUCUUUGACAAAUACUCCAAAGUCCUGACACUUCGAGGCGAAUGAUAAAAUGGGCGAUAGCAUUGGGUGAGUUUGACAUCGCCUACCAACCAAAGCCAGCUGAGAAAGGCCAAGCAGUGGCAGACUUCAUCGCCGACUUCACAUAUCAUGUUGACAUGGUUUCUUCGCCUAAAGAAAUGGUUUCAUUACCCUCAGAAGCUCAGAAAAUAGAACCAACAGCCCCUGCAUGGAGUCUAUAUGUUGAUAGCUCGUCCAACCAAUAGAGUUGUGGAGCAGGACUAGUCCUUACGACCCUGACAAAGUGGCGAUGGAGUAUGCUCUUCAUUUGAAAUUCAAGGUGUCAAACAAUGAGGCGUAAUAUGAAGCCCUCUUAGCAGGCUUACGUUUGGCCAAACACCUUGGGGUUAAACGAAUUGAUAUCUUCAAUGACUCCCAAUUGGUGGUUAACCAAGUCACCAACAACUUUGACGCUAAGGAUAGCUCUAUGGCAGCAUAUCUGGCACAAACACAAUUGUUGCUCAAGCACUUCCACUACCAGAUCACCCAAAUUCCUCGAGCGGCAAACAGUUAUGCAGAUGCUUUGGCUCGCCUCGCCUUAGCGGUGGAAGACAAGAUUGGGAGAAAAAUUCAGGUUGAAUUGUUGGCAGCACUAAGCACCAUGGCUGCGGAAGUGUGCAACUUACAAAGUCCGAUUUAUACAUUCCUUGCUCAUGACACCCUUCCAAAUGACAAAGUCCAAACUAAGCAGAUUUGAUACAAGGCUACCUGUUACUUGAUCAUUAAUGAACAACUCUACAAGCGGGGUUUUAACCUACCAUACUUAAGAUGCCUUACUACCGUAGAGGCGAAAAUUGUCCUUUGGGAAAUACAUGAAAGAGUCUGCGGAGAUCAUGCUGGAUCUCGAUCCCUAGCACACAAGGCUUUUCUCCAAGGAUAUUACUUACCAACACUCCACCAAGAUGCUAUCAGAAUAUCUCGCUUAUGUGAUAAGUGUCAACACUACGCAACUAUUCUUCACUCCCCUCCCUAGCCGCUCACUCCUAUGAUCAGCCCUUGGUCCUUCGCCCAAUUGGGACUUGAUUUGAUCGGCCUAAUGCCUGCAGGGAAGGGUAAGGUCUGCUAUGCAAUUGUUGCAGUUGACUACUUCACAAAGUGGGCUGAAGUAGAACCCUUGGCAACCAUUACUGAGGCAAAAAUAGAAGACUUCGUAUGGAAGAACAUCCUUUGUAGAUUCGGUAUUCCCAAUGUGAUAGUCACUGACAACGGGCGACAGUUCGACAACAAUAAGUUCAUGAUGUUUUGCUCUAAGUUCAAGAUCAACUUAUAUUUUUCCUCCCCAGCUCAUCCCCAGUCUAAUGGACAAGUCGAAGCCAUCAACAAAAUAAUCAAGUGAACUUUGAAAACUAGCUUGGAUAAGGAUAAAGGUUGUUAGCCAGAAUUUGUACCCCAAGUUCUUUGGUCAUACCGCACUUCGUAUCGAACAUCAACAGAAAAAACCUGAUUCUCACUUGCCUUUGGUACAGAGACAGUUGUCCCUGUUGAGCUUGAGCAAGCAAUGUUCCAAGUCCAGAACUACGUGCAAAGCGAAAAUGACAAACAACUUACCCUAAACUUAGAUCUAGUUGAGGAACACAUAAACCACGCUCACUUGAGGAAUGUCGUCUACAAGCAGUGUAUCUCCAACUACUAUGACUCAAGGGUCAAACCUCGUUUUUUCAAAGUGGGGGACUGGGUACUGAAGAAAAGAUUACUCUGCGACAAAGUCCUGAGUGAAGGAACACUUAGUCCAAACUGGGAUGGACCGUUUGAAGUUGUUGGCAUCAGUCACCCUGGCUCCUACAAGCUUAGAAGCUCCGAUGAUAAGACCUUUGGCCAUCCAUGAAACGCUGAUCACUCGAAGUACUAUUACAACUAAACUCACAUUGUACAAGUGUUAAGCUUCAGCCGUUUGGCAUCCUAUGUAACGAAGAUUAUUUGGAAUGAAUUCAAUAAAGAGGUGAUUUAGACAAAUCAGUCCUAAUCCUCUUACAUUCCUAGCAAUGAAGCACUCGGGUUCAAAGCUUCAACAUGAAUGUUUCCAACAUGAAACAAAGUCUAAGUAUACGUUAACAAGACUAUACAAAUAAACGAAUAGCUUCACAGUAUAUUCGUUCAAUCAUACAUUCCAACACAUUCAUACAUAAGCCAACUGUGCUUCGAAAGGGUUCAACAUACUUGGUGUCAUUCGACACUUGCUACAAUGUGCCUUGACACCUUGCCCUUAUUCUCACCAACCAGGUGAUGAAAUGUGAAGAAGGAACUCAUCUUCAUACCACCAACCAGGUGAUGAAAUGUACAACCCGUACUCUCUUUCAUGCCACCAACCAGGUGAUGAAAUGUACAACCCGUACUCUAAUAUCAUUUGGCAACUUGUCACUCAUGCCACCAACCAGGUGAAGAAGGAACUCAUCUUCAUGCCACCAAUCAGGUGAUGAAAUGUACAACCCGUACUCUCCUUCAUUCCAUUAACCAGGUGAUGAAAUGUACAACCCAUACUCUAAUAUCAUUUGGCAACUUGCCAUUUAUGCCACCAACCAGGUGAAGAAGGAACUCAUAUUCGUGCCACCAACCAGGUGAUGAAAUGUGAUGAAAGGUGAUGAAGGAACUCACAUUCGUACCACCAACCAAGUAAUGAAAGUAACUCACCAUUCAUUCCACAUACCAGAAGACGAGUGGUACAAUUUGUACAUGUGAACUCCUAACAUUCACAAAUAAUAAAAAACCUUCAAGCUUGACAACUCAACUAGGGGAGCACUUAUGCCCAACAAGAAUUAUAGUCACCAACAAAGUCUUAUUGCAAGCCAACAACAACUUCAGUGCAUGACAUACGAAGAUCAAGCUAUUCAGCCCGCUUGCAUCUACUUUAGACAUUUCUCAUUUGUAACAAUGCAACACUACAACUCGUAGAAAGCUUCACACACUCUUGAUCAAGACAGUGGGAAGCAAAACCAAUUUAUAGUGCCAACAAGAGCUUCAUCAAAUGAGUUUAACCAUAAUUCUCAAAAGUUUCACACUCUUGAUCAAGAUAGUGUGAAGCAAAACCAAUUUAUGGUGCCAACAAGAGUUUCAUCAAAGGAGUUCAACCACAAUUCUCAAAAGCUUCACACACUCUUGAUCAAGACAGUGUGAAGCAAAACCAAUUUAUGGUGCUAACAAGAGCUUCAUCAAUGGAGGGCAACCACAAUUCUUAAAAGCUUCUCACACUCUUGAUCAAGAUAGUGUGAAGCAAAACCAAUUUAUGGUGCCAAUAAAAGCUUCAUCAAAGGAGUUCAACCACAAUUCUAAAAAGCUUCACACAUUCUUGAUCAAGACAGUGUGAAGCAAAACCAAUUUAUGGUACCAACAAGAGCUUCAUCAAUGGAGGGCAACCACAAUUCUCAAAAGCUUCACACUCUUGAUCAAGACAGUGUGAAGCAAAACCAAUUUAUGGUGCCAACAAAAGCUUCAUCAAUGAAAGGCAACUACAACUCGUAGAAAGCUUCACACACUCUUGAUCAAGACUGUUCGAAGCAAAUUCAAUUUAUAUAGUUCAUCCAAACCUUCGACUACUACAAGGUAUGGCUUGCAUCACAAUCUCUUGCUCAACAGUGUGGAAGCAAAAUGUGUAUAUGUUGUCUCUCCCACAUUUUCAAAUUUCUAGUUUCCUUAAAAAAAAAAUUGGGAAAUUCAACAAAGCUUCAUCAAUGGAGGACAACUACAAAUUCUCAAAAGCUUCACACUAUCUUGAUCAAGAUAGUGUGAAGCAAAAUCAAUUCGUGGUACCCAACAAAGCUUCACCGCAAAAGCUUCACCAACAAAAGCUUCACCAAUAAAAGCUUCAUCAAUGGAGGACAACUACAAAUUCUCAAAAGCUUCACAUUAUCUUGAUCAAGAUAGUGUGAAGCAAAAUCAAUUCAUGGUACCCAACAAAAGCUUCAACUCCAAAGCUUCACCUACAAAGCUUCAACUCCAAAGCUUCACCUACAAAAUCUUCAACACAAAAGCUUUACCUGCAAAGCUUCAACUCCAAAGCUUCACCUACAUAUCUUCAACACAAAAGCUUCACCUACAAAGCUUCAACUCCAAAGUUUCACCUACAAAAUCUUCAACAAAAAAGCUUUACCUGCAAAGCUUUAACUCCAAAGCUUCACCCUCAAAAGCUUCACCCACAAAAGCUUCAAAGUUUCACCCACAAAAGCUUCACCCACCACAAAAGCUUCACCUACAAAAGCUUCACCAACAAAAGCUUCACCCACAAAAGCUUCACCUACAAAAGUUUCACCCACAAAAGCUUCACCAACAAAAGCUUCACCUACCACAAAAGCUUCACCCAUAAAAACAUCACUAACAAAAGCUUCACCCAUAAAAGUUUCACCAACAAAAGCUUCACCCAUAAAAGCUUCAUCAACAAAAGCUUCACCCACCACAAAAGCUUCACCCACAAAAGCUUCACCUACAAAGCUUAAACACAAAAGUUUUACCUACAAAAGCUUCACACUAUCUUGAUCAAGAUAGUGUGAAGCAAAAUCAAUUCAUGGUACCCAACAAAGCUUCAACUUCAAAGCUUCACCUUCAAAGCUUCAACACCAAAGCUUCACCUACAAAGCUUCAACACCAAAGCUUCACCUACAAAGCUUAAUAUAUAUAUAUAUUUUUUUUUUUUCGAAAAUUCGGAAAUUCGAAAGAAAAAAAAUUGCCUAGGCCUCCUCUUGUUUGGGCCUAACAACUUUCAUAACAAAUAUAUAUGAAGGAGGAGUUUUGGGCUACCACUUAGAAAGGAAAUGCCUCGUUCGUCAACUCCCUUGACCGGACAUUGAGGGACUCCUACCAUAUGUUACUGCACCUUGAUACUCGGAAGUCUCACGACCACUCAGUGACUUGGAUUUUUGAAGUCUCCAACCGAGAAGUUUUCCUCACUUGGGAAAUUAAGGGAGCACUACCUCAACAUACAUGCUUCACUCACAAAACUUCAACAUACAAGCUUCAACAAAAGAAAAAAUUCAAAGAACUUAGUGAAGAAGCCUUGGUGUAUUUAACACAAUACGUUGAAAUGAAGCAAAACUUGUUUAUUAAUAUCUCUAAUAAGUUACAAGUAUGUACAUAUACAUGAAUCAAAAUAAACAAACAAGAGGGAGCCUUCACAAAGGUUGCUCAGGAGAAGUCUUAGCAGUUGGCAGAGCCCCAAAAAGAGGAGGCACCAGAGGGUGAUUAUUCGGAGCCUCAGUACUGGGCAGAACCCCAGAAGGAGGAGGCACCAAAGGUUGAUCAUUUGGACCUUCAUUACGAGAUACAGCCCUAAAAGACGAAGGCAAUAAAUGCAUUUGGAACAAACCCACAAACCUCUGAUGAUCAAGUAAAAUCUGACCAUCAGAUUCUUGCAGCUGGUCGAGCUUCCUCUUCAUGUUUGUAGCAUAGUCAUGUGCGAGCCUGUGCAACUGUUUAUUCUCAUGCUUGAGCCAUCUGAUCUCCUGUUUGAGACUUGGCGGGUUCGAGCAAAUAGGCAUUGAGCCAUAUUAGACACAAAACCUGCACACUGAACACUAAGAGCCAGAGAAUCCUUAACAACCAACUCAUCAGAUUGUUUGGAAAAUAGUCUGUUAUCUUUGGGAGUGAGAAGGUUCCUGGCCACCACCGCAGCGGUCAUAUCAUUCUUCAUCAUAGAGUCCCCAACGGUAAGAGGACCAAUAGGGGAUAAGAAGGAUUGGCGCCAUAUGUUGUCUUGAGAAGGCAUGACUGCCUUUUCACCAAAGUUCAAGUCAAAACGAUGGUCGGAUGGGCCAGACAUUCUCAGAAAUGAUGAAGGAGAAAUGAGGUGCAAUAAAUCUCUGAAGUACAAAAAUAAGGGGAAAAUUCAUGCAAGCAAUAACUCUCUGAACGUACUUCUUGCACACAUUGGUGCCCCUAUAAAAGAAAGGGCAACAAGGUUGUUGGUUCAAAAAUCGAAGAGGCAUCACUCUCCAGAUUUUGAGAAGCAGAUUUUCCUGAGUAAAAUAUGUCGACAAUCCCCACAUGCAACAUCAGCUCCUCGGGUACCACAGAUAACUUUGCCAAAGAUCUCUGACAAAGUUUAGACACAUAAAUUUUGAAGGUCUAGCUACCCUACCAUUACCCACAAGGGUAAAGGAACAACACCACUGCUUGAUAACUGGAAAGUCCCUAUAUGUGUCAACCUCCGUGCUCCGUGGCAAGGUUGACUGGUAAAAAUGCCCAACCUUUACUCACAUUUGAGAAAACAUUCCCAACAAGAUUGCUUGCUCAAAUAUCGAAGAGGCACCGAUCUCCGAAUCUCAAGAGCCAAACUCCCAACAGGAUUACUUGCUCAAAAAUCGAAAAGGCACCGCCUUCCGAAUCUCGAGAGUCAGACUCCCAACAGGAUUACUUACUCAAAAAUCGAAGAGGCAUCGCUCUCCGAAUCUCGAGAGCCAGACUCCUAAUAGGAUUACUUGCUCAAAAAAAACUUUUUUGCUUUGUAACGGCAAUCUAAACUUUCAAUUUGUUGAUUGGAUACUUGAAGUGUUUAUGUUUAUGAAACUAAACCCUGCAUGCAGUCUGACAUGUGUAUGAGGAAACAGAAUGAAACUAACAUCACUCCUCUCAAUUAUGUUCUAAGAGAACAUAUUUAGGACACACCUAGGUGUUUAUUCCUUCCAAUAAUGUGCUCAUAUGACACAAUUGGGAGAAAUAUUGAGCACCAUGACGCUAGGUUAAUUCCAGUUCCUCCUAUAGAUGUCAGAUUGCAUUUAGGGUUCAAUCUAAGAAUCAUAAGACGCUUCAAGUCUCCACCAACAUAUAGGAAGUUUUAGAUUGCCGUUACAAAUCAAAGAGAGUUUUCCAUAAUUCAAGCCUAGAACACCCUCUAUAAGAACCUAUCUCAUUUCUUCCAUGUGUCAUCACAUAGUCCUAAGAGUUACAGCAAAAUAGCACCAAGAUAUACUCUCUUAAGACUUGUAGCUCUUAAGAUUUGUUAUGACACAUGGAAGAAAUGAGAAAGGCUCUUAUAGAGGGUAUCCUAAGACUUGAAAUUAUAGAAAACUCAUUUAGCUUUGUAACGACAAUCUGAAACUUUCAAUACGUUGGCUGGAGACUUGGAAGUGUCUUCUGUUUCUGAAACUGAAACCUGCAUGCAGUCUGACAUGUGUAUGAGGAAAUGGAAUGAACCUAGCAUCAUGAGUGAUUACUCCUCUCAAUGAGCACAUAUUUAGGACACAAUUGGGUUCUUAUUCCUACCAAUAAUGUGCCCAUAUGGCACACUUGGGUGUCAUAAUAAACACCCAUGAGGCUAUGCUUUUCCAAUUCCUCCUACAAAUGUUGGAUUGCAUGCAGGGUUCAAUCUGAGAAACAUAAGAUGCUUCAAUUAUCCAACCAACGGUUUGAAAGUUUUAAAUUGUAGUUACAAAGCAAAGAGAGUUUUCUGUAAUUUCAAGUCUAAGGACACCCUCUUUCAGAACCUAUCUCAUUUCUUCCACGUGACUGUCAUCACAUAAUCUUAAGAGCCAGAACAAAAGAGCACCAAGAAACACUCUGUGAUAAGAUGUAUUUGAUCAUAAUUCGAGCCACCAAUUUUUAGCUACUUGGAUGUACAAGUUGUCAUUAUUCUGGAACAAUCUCUUCUACAAUGGCAGAGAUCCGAAGUUCGAAACUGUGCGGAUAUGGACUACACUAUCCUCAUGUGAAUAUUCAUCACUUUAAAUUAUCUGAAUUCGGUAUCCGUUUCUAGCUCAUGGAAUGCAGCUGCUACAAUCCAACCCAUGGGAAAAAGUUGGACCUGAUUGUGCUCAAGAUUAUUUUGUUACUUGGACAUGCCAACAAGCCUUUGAGUAGUACGUAAGAAGAAAGGCCAGAAUAGAUGGAAAGAAGAAGAAAAGGCAUGCUCAAACAAAUAAACAAUGAGCAUACAUGGCAGAUAAGUCUCCUCUUUAAGCCAACUUAGGUUUUCAGAGGUGAAACAAAGUUUAUGUGCUCGAGUAUAUUCGUCUUAUUGGUUUCACGGUGAUGAUCCGCGCGCUCAUUUAUUUUUAUAAAAGGGGUGUAGUCAAAUUAGGAUUUGAUAGUUUUAAUGGAUUUUGAAAUCUGAGUGUGUUCAAUUAGGAUUUUAAACGAAGAUUUUAAAAGAUUUUGAAAUUAUGGUGUAGUCAAAUUUUGAUUUUAGAGGAUUUUAAAAAUACAUUGAAAUCCAAGGAUAGCCGAUUUUAAAUAAGUCUUCAAAUGUCUAGCUGUAGUGAAAAUACCAAAGAUUUGCUAGGAUUUUAAUGAGUGAUGGAUUUUGAUGGAUAAGAGGGUGUGUGGUAUAAAUACCAAAUGCCAUCAAGAAUUCAACCCUCACCCCUAGAUUUCUUUUCACUUUGUCGUGUCUUCGUUCAGCUCUUGAAGUCUAAGCGCUUCAACCACACUCUCUAGGUUUCAAUUUCUAUCAUUUUGCUCUUGUACUCGUGUCUUUUAGAAUUGUUCCGAUCAAGCUGAAAUGCUCCAACUAUCUUCCAUGGCGUGCGUUGUUUGCUCCGAUUCUCCGUCGCUACAAACUCAUUGGCGUCAUUGAUGGCACAAAACCGUGUCCUUCUCCUCUGCUUCCAUAUCAUUCAAUCAAUCCGGCCUUUGAACUUUGGUAUGAAAAAGAUUGCAAUCUCCUCAUUUGGUUAAAUUCUACGCUUUCUGAAGAAGUUAUUCCAUUUACUGUUAGGGUUUCAUCCUCUCGCAAUCUGUGGAUUAAAUUGGAGCUGUGAUUGGUGGUGUUUCUGAUGCACAUAUUCACCAAUUGGGAUCUCGUCUUCAAUCUCUUCAGAAAGGAUCUUUGUCAAUUUCUGAAUAUCUCCAACAAAUCAAAGAGAUUUCUUAUUCAUUUACUGUUGUUAAAGCUCCUGUUACCGAUCGUGACUUCAUUGCAGCUACCCUUGUUGGAUUACCAGAUGAAUUUGAGACGUUUAUUGAUUCUAUCAUGCUUCGUCUUUCUACCACAACACUUGAUGAAUUGCACGGUUUACUUCUCACCAAGGAAUUUUCCUUGUCUUGAAGAAAGAAACUUGCUUCCUCCAAUGUCACAUAACCAUUUCAAGCCUUUUCAAUUCAAGCUCAGGCCUCUCAAGCUCUUAUUCUUCCUGCACUGCAAGUCUUGGCUGCUCAGUAUUCUCAAUCACAGAACUUUGUGAAGCACAAUCGUGGUAAUCGGGGCAAUAACUAUAACAAUCGAGGCCAUAGUUACAACAAUUGUGGCAGUCAUGGUUCCAAUUUUAAUUCUAGAGGUAACAAUUUCAAUCACCGUGGCAAUUCUCAUGGCUCUCACAAUUAUAAUCCAUAUGGUUAUCGUAUACCAUGUAAAUAUGUAGUUCUACUAGUCAUAAGGCUAUCGAUUGUUAUGAUCUUAUGAAUCCUGAUAUUGUUGGUAAAGUACCUUCUGCAAAGUUGGCUGAGAUGUGUGUUCAUCAUUCAAUGAAGCCUAAUACUCCAUCAUGGUUAAUUGAUUCUGAUGCCACUUCUCAUAUUACAAAUGACAUCUCCAACAUUCAAUCUCCCAUCUCAUAUCAUGGAGAAGACAAAGUAUACAUUGGUGAUGGUAAAGGUCUAUCCAUUGAUCAUAUUGGUUCAUUUUUGUUGCAUAAUCCUUACUCUAGGGGUGGGUUCAAAAAACCGAAAAUUGAAAACCAAACUGAACCGAAGCCGAAAAAAAUCGAACCGAAAUUGCCAAACUUGACUGCAGGCUUUGUGUUGUUAUAAAUGUACUAGCAAGUUAUUUAUAGUUUCUAAUAUUUAAUUCUUUAUAAAAUUUCUUAACUUUACAAACCCUAGCCAUCUCACUCCCAUUUCAGCUUUCACCUUUUCUCAAACCUUCGCUCUCCCCAUCUGCUGCUUCAUCUCUACCUUUGCUUCCUCAGUCUCUCUCUCUCUCUCAUUCCCUUCUUCCUCCAAAUCACUCUCUCUUUCCAGUCUUCACCUAUCCUCCUCGUGGAUUCCUUCUUCCAAACCAUGAUUUUCACUCGCCCCUUUCGAAUCAGAACCCCCUCCAAAUUGGAAGAUUCUAAUCCGAGUUUUCUAUUCUCUCACAGGUAAUUUUUGAAUCAAAAUGAAUAUGAUUUAUAUUGUGAUUUUUUUAAUUAAAAUGGGUUUUUGUUUUAAUUAUUUUGUAGGGUUUUUCUUUUAAUUAUUUUCCCAUGGCUGAUGAGAAGUUUGGGACUAAAAACAAACCCCCAAGUAAAAAUCUCUCAUGGCUGCUAUUUAGUUCUAUUUGGUUUAUUUUCAUGGAAAAAUCAAAGAACUAACACAUGCAUGUGUUUUCUCUACAAAAGCUCUCGAAUCCACCACAAGAAAGACUCAUCGACACCCAAUAAUGUCAGAUCCAUGGCCGAUCGUCCCAGUUCAUAUUCAUUUGAUGCAGAAGUUUUUGCAUCUUCAGUGCUCAUUCGUUGCAGAUUUUGUGCCAAAUUAAAAAAAAAAUCUUGGAAAAAAUCGAACCGAACUGAAACUGAACCGAAAAAAAAUUUAACUGAAUCGAAAUUUCGAUUUGGUUUCGGUUUUGGCUAAAAACCGAAGUGUUUCAAACCGAACCCAGCCCCACCUUACUCUACAUUUCAGUUGCACAAUGUUUUACAUGUGCCUCAAAUGCAACACAAUCUUCUUUUUGCUUAUCAGUUUAUUAAAGAUAAUAAAUGUUCAUUGACUCUUAAUAUUGAUGGAUCCUAUGUCAAGGAUUGUACUACAAGGAGGAUGCUUCUGCAAGGACCUGUUAAGGAUGGUUUCUUCCUACUACAAGGCUCCCCUACACUCUGUCAUUCUUCAGUAUCUUCUCCUACUGCAUUACUCAGUAAUAAAGCCUCUGUCAAAGUGUGGCAUAGCAGACUUGGCCACCCUUCUUCUUCCAUUUUCAGAAGGGUACUCUCCAAUAGUAAACUUGCACUUCAAGGAAAAUCUACAGUGGAUUUCUUCUGCAAGGACUGUGUUUUAGCCAAGAAUCAUAAACUUCCUUUUAGUAGUACUAGUUCAUUUUCUUCCAAAUGUUUGGAUUUGUUGCAUUAUGACUUAUGGGGACCCUCACCUGUGUUGUCUGUGAGUGGUUAUAAAUACUAUCUGUCAUUGUUGAUGAUUUCAGUAGGAAUUGUUGAUUUUUUUCCUUGAAAUCAAAGGCAGAUGUGUACUCCACUUUUGUAAACUUUCAAUGCUAUGUAAAAAAUGUUCUUGGCAAUAAAAUCAAAAUUGUUUGAUCUAACUCAAGGGGUGAAUUCAUUGGUAAUUAGUUUCAAUCUUAUCUUAAGUCUCAUCGUAUUUUACAACAAUUCAGUUAUCCUCAUACCCCUGAACAAAAUGGUUGUGUUGAGCGCAAACACAGACAUUUAGUUCAAACUGCAAGGACUUUGUUAGUUCAAUCUCAUGUCCCUCAUCAAUAUAAGUUGAAGCAUUCUCAACUGUUGUCUAUUUGAUUAAUAGACUCCAUAUUUCUGGUAAUCUAAAGUCUCCUUGGGAAUUUCUAUUUCAGAUUCAUCCAGAUUAUUCAAGGCUCAAAGUAUUUGGAUGUAGCUGCUUUCUAUGGCUCAAACCUUACAUCUUAUCCAAAUUGGAUAGUAAAAGUAAACAUUGUGUUUUCUUGAGGUACAGGUGCUUGGAUCUACUCACUCAACGCAUUUACAUUUCAAAGCAUGUCAUUUUCAAUAAAGCAGAAUUUCCCUAUCAUAAGAUUAUAACUAUUGCAUCUAUUACUUCAUUAACUUCAUCAUUAUUUUCACCUAUUAGUCUUGGGUUUACCAUUCCUCAUUUUGCUCCAUCUUAAGCACCAAUUUCUCAAGUGUCUACUUCUCUUACAAGUAAUCCUCUUAAUGAUGCAUCUCCACUACUUGAAGAUCUUGCAUUAUCAUAAAUGUAGUUUCUUCAAUUGUUCCAGUUCCCCAGGUUGUUACCAAUAUACAUCCAAUGGUAACUCAGUCUAAAGCAGGAGUCUUUAAACCAAAAGCUUACUCAGCAACUAAGCGUCCAUUGCCAUCUUCAAUUGAUCAUGUUUCAACUAUAUAUAUUCAAGUAUCCAAGUUUGCACACUAGAGAACUGAUAUGCAAGAGGAAUUUAAUGCUUUGCAAUCCACAUGUACAUGGUCAUUGGUGCCUUCUACUUCUAAUCAAAAUGUUGUUGGUUGUAACUGGGUCUUUAGAGUCAAGAAACAUCCAGAUGGUAGCAUUGAUAGAUAUAAAGCCCAGCUUGGAGCCAAGGGCUUUCAUAAGCAAGAAGGAUUAGAUUACAAAGGAACUUUUAGCCCAGUAGCUAAACCAGUAACAACUCAGAUUCUUUUGUCUCUUGCUGUGCAAUAUGACUGGUUUUUUAAUCAACUUGAUAUUAGUAAUGCCUUUCUCCAUGGUGAUUUCAAAGAGGAUGUCUUUAUGACUCAACUUCCUGGAUUCUGUGAUCCUAAUUUUCCCAAGCAUGUAUGUAAACUCAAAAAGUCUUUAUAACCUCAAACAAGCUCCUAGAGGUUGGUUUGACAAGUUGUUAAACACUUUGAAGUCUUUUGGUUUGCAACACUCCAUUUCAGAUGCUUCUUUCUUUGUUCUUAAAGCUCAUGUCUUGGUCAUUGUUGUGGUCUAUGUAGAUAACAUUCUAGUGACUGGACCAAACUCAGAUGUUUGCAAACUCUUUAUUUAGAAGCUUAGUUUAGUAUUUCCAGUCAAGGAUCUUGGCCCUUUGCAUUAUUUUCUUGGUCUUGAAGUUCAGAUGACUUAUGAUGGUUUAUUUCUUCACCAAAGCAAAUAUUUGCUUAAUUUGCUUCAGAAAACGAAAAUGGAAGGUGCUAAACCAUGUACAACCCCUCUGUGUAGCAUCAAACUUGAUCAUACUGGACCACUUCUCUCAGAUCCUACAGAGUAUAGGUUUAUAGUUGGUGCAUUACAAUAUUUGACAUGGACUCGGCCUGAUUUAUCCUUUGCAGUUAAUCAAGUAUGUCAGUUCAUACAUGCUACAAGGGAAACUCAUUUGCAGGCAACUAAAAGAAUCUUAAGGUUUCUCAAAGGUUCUUUCACAUAAGGAUUAUGGUUAAAAAAUGGUUCAAUUCAUCUCUCUGCCUUCUCAUAUGUUGAGUGGGAUGGCUGUCCAUUUGACUGAAGAUCUAAAAGUGGUUAUUGCAUUUUGCUAAGAUCCAAUUUGAUUAAUUGGAGUACCAAGAAGUAAUCCACUGUUGCUUGUAGUUCCACAGAAGCUGAAUAUAGGUCAUUAGCUCACUAUUGAUGCACAAAAUCGGUGAAGACUUUGGUACAACAGAAAGUGUUAAGUUUGUAACCUUCGCUAGAUUGCUCCGGUCACUAGCAUGGAUAAGUAUGUAAAUGGAUAGAGACAGGGAAACAAACACAAGAUGUACGUGGUUCAUCUAGAUUGGCUACGUCCACAGAGUAGAGAAGUUCUCAUUAAUUGUGAAAGGUUUACACAAGUACAUAGGUUCAAGCUCUCCUUUAGUGAGUACUAGUGAAUGAUUUAGUACAAAUGACAUUAGGAAAUAUUGUGGGAGAAUGAUCUUCUUUUAUAGAAUAGGGUUUCUAGCUUUGUUUUGACAUUAACACGUGUCGUGUUAUAAUUGGCUUCUGAUGUUGACACGUGUCGCGCUAUGGUUGGCUUCUGAUAUCGACACGUGUCACGCUGUGAUUGGCCUCCUGGUUGGAAGGAAACUCUUCUGGGUCUUUGACGGUAUAACGUUGACCGGUACUCGGUAGUUUUGGGAUUGGUCAAGUAUGGUACAAACACUCACACUACUGCAGAAAUCACCUUGAUUUGCAAAGUUCUUAAUGAUAUUGGUCUACCACUUCUUAAAGUUCCUGAUUUAUGGUGUGAUCACAUCUCUGCCAUCUCAUUGGCAUCAAAUCUAGUAUUCCAUGCUUAAACUAAGCACGUAGAAAUUGAUUAUGAUUAUAUCAGAGAGCUCGUUCUUGCUCAUUUGAUCGAAGUCCAAUAUGUUUGCAGUCAGGAUCAACUUGCAGAUAUUCAUACUAAAGCUUUGACAAAACACAGAUUUCAAUAUUUGCAGUCCAAGCUUCCUUUAGGUUCUUUCAGCACCAAGUUAAGCUUAAGAGGGAGUAAAGAGUAAUCAAAUAAUAGGUGAAAUGUUUUUUCUCUUCUGUAUAGUUGUUACACUUGAUUAUGUAAUUGUUAGUAUUUGUAACAACCCGUUCCAGAAUUUAAUAAAAAAAAAGAAGGUAUUUUUGUAUUUUCACUAAGUUUGGGGAUAUUUUCCUUUUAAAAAUAGUUUUUGGGUCUUAAAUGAUGUGCCCAAGGGACCCACCCCUGAUUUGUCCUUUGGUUCCUUUCCCAUUUUCUUUAUUUUUCUGAUUUUUAUAACUCUCUCUCUCUUUCAGCUCUUUCCCCCUUUUCUCCCUUUCGAGCUCAUCUUUUUCUCUCUCGGACUCUUUCCCGAUUGACACCCAUACACACACCCAGUCACCAACCACAACCCAUACCACCUGAGCGUGGAGACGUUGAAACCCAGGACCUGAAGGCGUGAUACUCCAACAGUGGCAGUGCCACUGUGCAUCUUCAUCCCUAAACAAACUCCGACGAGUUUGUAUCACCUCUGACUUGGGUAAGCUUCGAUAACACUCUAAACCUCCCCAUUUUUAUCCUCAUAAUUCAUUUCUGAUCAUAUUUGUAUGUUUUGGUCGUCGAAACUACGAAGAAAAAUGUCGAGGAGACUUCCCCAAAUUCCGGCAAAGAACCAGUCACUUUCGAGCCAAUUUCCAGACAAACAACGGGGAGUUGGCCAACGUGCAAGGUAUCAAUCUCUUCAUCUCGCUGAGUGCUACAACUUUCAUUUUUGUUUUACUCAAUUUGGUUGAGUAUUGAAGAAGUUAUAUCCAUUUGAAUCUUACCCAGUUUUCAGCGACCUCCGCGGCUUUCGAGGCUUUUUUUUUCAGACAAAACAUGGUGAGAUAGAUGUCGUGCGAGGUACCAUUCUCUUUGUCUCUUCAGGAACUAUGAUUUUUGUUUUUGAAUCACUCAAUUUCAUUGAGUAUUGACAAAGUUAUGAGCGUUUAAAGUUUGUCUAAUUUCCGGCCGAAUUUCGGCCUUUUCCUUUGAUUAGAUCCAGUGACCUCCAUGCCAAGAAGCCAGGCCCUCGAGCCUUUUCUCAAAACACUAUGGGCCUUGGGCCCUUUAAGCACUAACCCAACCCUUUUUAGUUUUGUUUUUAAUUAAUUAAUUUAUUGGGAAUUUAAUGAAAAACUCAUGGUAUUGUUCACUUUAACGAAAAAUUACAUUUUUACACUAAAAAGUCAAUCAUAGUAUUACUCAUUUCACCCUUUAUUUUGUCCUUAUCGUUAAAACUCAAAGUUUUCAAACCAUUUUCAUUAUUUUUCCUUAAUUUAUUUCUUAAUUCCUUUUAAAAAAACCUAGGCCCGUGUGCCCUAAAGAUCCAAGCCUUUAAAGGUUUAAGGCCUUAGGGCCGUCUCUCUCUCCUUAGGCCUUUGGCCUUGGGGCCGGGCCCUAAACCAACUUCCCAAAACCCAUUUCAAAACCCCUUAGCCCAUUUACCUAAACCCAACCCAAUUUCCUAAUUAUAAAACCCAAUACCCAAACCCUUUUUAAUUAUAAAACCCCUUAAGCCCUUUUCCCCAAACUCAACCCACCUAUUAACAAAACCCUUAACCCUUUAAAUCCAAGACCCUCGGCCCAACCCAGAUUCGGACCCAAUGGAAUAUUCUGGAACAUUCUGAGGAAUAUUCCUGGAAUAUUUCCAUGUUGACUUUUGUUGACUUUUUGAAAAUUUAACCGGGACCCUUCUUAGGGUAAUUCAACGUCCUGAAUCCAUUUUUGACAUCCGUUUCCUCAAAUUCAAUUGAUAUCAUAUAGUUUUAUUAAUUGGGUAUGGGCAAUUAUUGUGGCGUUUCCGUCUUCGCUAGUUUGCGCGGCUCUUCAGCGGCGAAGUAACUGUGAGUGGACUCCUUCUAAAAAUGCAUGUUUUAAUAGUAGAAAUGCAUACAUGGAAAAGCAUGAUUUAACAAUUAUGUUCUAUGAAACACUUUGAGAUAACAUGCUUAUUGAGGCUAGUUUGAAUUAUUAUUAUUUUUCCUAUAACCCGUGUUCUUAUAGAAUAUCUGAUGGACGACGAUAUAAUAUUUAGAACACAUUUGGAACACCUCUUUAUAGUAUAGAUGAUGGAUGACUUUAUACUAUGAAGUUGUUUUUCAAUAUAUGUAUGUUCAAUGGUUUUGUACUUACCCAGUGGUCUCUAUUUCGCUACGGGAUGAGGGAUAGAUUCUGGUCCAUCUCAGGCGACGGUUAUGAUGUUGGCAUAAGGCUUGAAGUGUUUUUCCUCUGGCUAUUAGCAUAGGGAUGGGGAGCUAGCAUGGGGCCUGGGGGUAAUUUUCCUCUGGCUGUUUGCACAGAGACGGGGAGUCGGCAUGGGGCCUGGAGAUAUAUUGGACAUUCAUUAGUGAUUAUUAUAUAUAUAAGUUAUGAUUUAAGACAAUGCACGACAUGCUAGGUUUCGGAAAACCUAUUUUAUCAUGAUAUAUAUGUGUUUUCAUAAAACCUGGGAGCUAGUAUGUUGAUUACUGUUCUAUAUAUAUAUAUAUAUAUAUAUAUAUAUAUAUAUAUAUCAACUUGGUCCACUCAUAUUUGUUUUGCGCCCCCUUCACGACUUAGAAUCGAGGCAUACAAUCCCGGCGUCAAGACACUUCCACAUCGGCAUCUUCGAGUCCUCUCGGUGUAGGACCCAUUCUUUUAUUCAUUCAAUUUUAUAUUAUUUCUUUUAGUAUUCUAGUUAGUUGUAUACUCUGAACACGUUCUUUAAAUACAUAUUUGUUGAUGCACAAAAUCGGAAGUCUUCGAACAACGUAAAUCCGACCGUGAAUCUACAAGUAAUGUAAAUAACACAAGAUGUAUCGUGGUUCACCCCAAGGUUUGGGCUACAUCCACACUAAUUAUAUAUUUAUCUGAAGGGUGAGGGGAGUAAGGGAGCUCUGUAAUGUGAGAGCUUUGAGAGGAUGAAAGAGCCUUAAGAAAUGGCCUCAGAGUUGGCCUUCCUUAAUGAGGAGAGUGAUGGGUCCUUUUAUAGAAUAAGGGCUCCUCACUUAUUACAUAUUUGCCCCUUCCUUUAUUACAUAAUUACAUUUAAGUCACCCGAGUAUUUAUACGAGAUAUAAAUAUAGAGGCCCUAAAUAUGGUAUAAAUAGUAGUCCCCCAAGUCUUCAGUUAAGAUAGUCUUUUGGCUGAAGACUUGAAAUUCAGUCCAUAAGUGGGCCAAAAUAACUAAAUGUUGUCUUGAACUGAUACUUGAUAUGAGGCGGUGCUCAAAGUGAAAUGAUGCUCAACUAUAAGUAGCACAUGUUGUGAGGCUUGUUGGCUUGUGGCUUAUGUUGCCUUGGUUGGGUAGGCUUGUGGCGCUUGAAGGUGAGGGAGUCCCUUUUAUAUAAUAAGGGCUCGCUCCUCAAUACAUAAAAUGAUGGGCUAGAGUUGAUGCUCAAGGCGAGGCGGUUGCUCAGUAGGCGGCGAUGCUCUCUAAUGGUGGUGAGGGAUUCCCUUUUAUAGAAUAAGGGCUCGCUCCUCAAUACAUAAGUGAUGGGUUAUGAGUGAUGCUCGCGGCGAUGCAGUUGCUUAGCUGGCAGCGUUGCUCUAUAAUGAAGGUGAGGGAGUCCCUUUUAUAAAAUAAGGGCUCGCUCCUCAGUACAUGAAUAAUGAGUGCUCUCUAAUGAAAGUGAGGGGGUCCUUUUUAUAGAAUAAGGGCUCGCUCCUUUAUACAUAAAUAAUGGGCUAAGUCCCCCAACUAUUUUUCCUGAGGCCCAGUUGAGGUCCAAUAUAUGGUACCUAAUGUAGUCCCUCCAGUUUUCGGUCAAUAGAGUCUAUUGGCUGGAGACUUCAAAUUGAAUCCAUGUAUGGGUCGAAAUGGCGGUUGUUCGAAUGCGGUAUUUGUAUACUCUGCACUGAAGCUUUGUAAGUGAAGCUUUGAAGUUGGAACUCUGUAAAUGAAGCUUUUGAAGCUAGAGCUUUUGUAGAUGAAGCUUUUAAAGCUAGAGCUCUGUAAAUGAAGCUUUUGAAGCUGAUUGACAAGAGUGAUGCUCAUGAAUGUUUAUGUUGAUUGACAUGAGUGAUGCUCAUGGAUGUUGUCAUGCGUGAUGUUCAUGAAUGUUAACAUGAGUAAUGCUCAUGAAUGAUGGUCAUGAAUGUUUAUGUAAGAAUGUCAUGAGUGAUACUCAUGAAUGUUUAUGUAUGAAUGACAUGAGUAAUGCUCAUGUAUAAUUUGGAGUACUGGGGGUACUUUUGAUCACCUGGUUGGUGGCAUGAAGGAGAGUACGAGUUGUACAUUUCAUCACCUGGUUGAUGGCAUGAAUGGCUAGUUGCCAAAUGAUAUUAGAGUACGGGUUGUACAUUUCAUCACCUGGUUGGUGGUAAUAACGGCAGGUUGUCGAAUAAUUUUGGAGUAUUAGACGUACUUUUGAUCACCUUAUUGGUGGUAAUAACGGCAGGUUGAUUUUUGGAGUACUGGGCGUACUUUUGAUCACCUGGUUGGUGCUAUUUUGGGCAUAUGAGCCUUCGCCCUCACACAACAUUCCAGCCCAUUUAUUUUGGGCUUUGCCUUUUUUUUUUUACCCUCUGAUGGAGUUUAUACAGAUGUUUCCAAAAGAUAAGGAAAAUAAAUUACAUCAUUCUGGUAGGGUGUUUAUUCCUUGCUUUUGCAGUGUUCCCAUGUGUCUCCCUUUUGCUUUCCUCCUUUCCACCACACCUCUCCCACUCAGUCUUUUUUUCUUUUUCUAUUUUGCUUUGCUUUUGCUGUCUUUUAGAAAAUGGCAGGCAAUAAUAACAUAGUUAAUAAUAUAAAAUCCUUGCUGAUCUUUCCAAGAGCAAAAGCAGAGUCUUCCUGGCAAAGACAAUAAUGAAAGUGCAACGAAUUUAGCUAAAGCAUGUGGAGUACUGAUUGAUCCAUUACUCCUUUACUGAGUUGCUUACGUGAUCAUCGCUCCUCAAUUGAGGUAAGCCAUAUUCAUCAUCUUCAUGCCCUGUUGGUGUCUCUGUCUUUGCCUUUUUGAGGCAUUGGAUUCCCUUGCUUGGCAAACAAAAGAGAGAAAGAGAGACUGUCAUUGUCCUUUUUUUUUUGUCUGGCAUCUUUCUGUCAUGUUGUGGCUGUAAGCAUGGGCCUGCAAGGCUUGGAGUCGAAUAUAGUUGGCAAGCCCAUUUCAUUGGGGAAAGUUACAACCGAUCCUGAUGGACCAAUCACCCAUCGAAUAGAAUCUAGAGGAAGUGUGAAAGCAUUUGCAGCCCCCUCCUGAGCCAUAUCUUCUUGAAAACCUUCAACCUAGCAUCUUCCUCCAUUUCUUGGCCAAUCUAAUAGUCUUAGUAACUUUUGUGGUAGCCGUAAGGGAAAAUCUCUUUGCGUUUCUUAUUACUGAUCUGCCCAUGUUGUUGUUCGCCUUCCAACCUAGAUGCGACACCUCCGGCCCCAUUCCCGCUCACAAACGACGCCGUCUCGUACCUGCCAUUCAUUGUCCCCCAGCUCUCCCUGCUCAUCGCUCGGUCCAAAUACACCACCACCCGAUGUUCUAGUUUCCCAAUCUUAACGUGGAGUUCGUUGACGAUUUCCUGGAUUUCCUUCGAUUUGACUGAAGUAGGGGGUAAGUCGGUGGCGGUGGGCUUGGGCUUGGCCUUAUGAGGGAGCGAUAGAAGGAGAGGAGGAAGAAGAUCAUGACUAUUAGAGAACCAACAAGGAUUCCAUGAUGACUCAGAGACGGAGCCUGAAGAUUGAUGUAGGUUUCGAGAGCUGCGAGUUCACAAACGUCGCAUCGUACAACGAUAUUGUGAAUACUAAGAGAAUGGCUCAGACAGUUCACUGCUUGGGUUGUGGGUUCCAUCGCAUUGGGUCUUCGGAGUUUGAUUUUCCUGCCAUCGGACUGGUGUUGGGAGAAAAGGGGUUUGUGUUGGGAGAAAAGGAUUGGGAAAGUGUUUGAUAGUUUUUUUAUAGAUAAUACACACAGAGAGGGGGACGAAGUGUUUUCUUGGUUUAGAAAGAGAUGGAUUUUUUGGAUUUCUUUUUGUUUUGAUUCCUGGGUUUUGCAGAUCCACAACGGAAGUGGAAAAUUGAGAGAGAACCGACACAACUUUUCGUAUCGAUUCCCACAGAUGGCGCCAAAUGUUGAUGCACAAAACCGGAGGUCUUGGAACAACGUAAAUACGACAGUGAAUCUGCAAGUAAUGUAAAUAACACAAGAUAUAUAGUGGUUCACCCCAAGGUUUGGGCUACAUCCACACUAAUUAUAUAUUUAUCUGAAGGGUGAGGGGAGUAAGGGAGCUCUGUAAUGUGAGAGCUUUGAGAGGAUGAAAGAGCCUUAAGAAAUGGCCUCAGAGUUGGCCUUCCUUAAUGAGGAGAGUGAUGGGUCCUUUUAUAGAAUAAGGGCUCCUCACUUAUUACAUAUUUACCCCUUCCUUUAUUACAUAAUUACAUUUAAGCCCCCGAAUAUUUAUACGAGAUCUAAAUACGGAGGCCCUAUUGAUGCACAAAACCGGAGGUUUUGGAACAACGUAAAUCCGACCGUGAAUCUACAAGUAAUGUAAAUAACACAAGAUGUAUCGUGGUUCACUCUAAGGUUUGGGCUACGUCCACACUGAUUAUGUAUUUAUCUGAGGGGUGAGGGGAGUGAGGGAGCUCUGUAAUGUGAGAGCUUUGAGAGGAUGAAGGAGCCUUAAGAAAUGGCCUCAGAGUUGGCCUCCCUUAAUGAGGAGAGUGAGGGGUCCUUUUAUAGAAUAAGGGCUCCUCACUUAUUACAUAUUUGCCCAUUCCUUUAUUACAUAAUUACAUUUAAGUCCCCCGAGUAUUUAUAUGAGAUCUAAAUACGGAGGCCCUAAGUAUGGUAUAAACAAUAUUCAUUAUUUUUAAAUUUAUAAGUCUUAUUUAUUUCUUUUUCUUAGCAUUUGCAUUCAAUAAAUGGUUUUCGUCACCCUCGGGUGUCGGCCAACACGUGUCUAUCCUGGUGUUCGGGGAAUAUCGGGAUUGGGGCGUGUCAGUAUUACUGAGGGUAAAUAUGUAAAGUGUUAGUUUUGUUAACACUGUAAAUACCAAGUGUAUGACUAAUUAUUGUUUAAUGAGAAAUACAAGUAUUACGGUUAAAAGUUUUCUUUCUCUAUAAGCUUCCUUUGUAAGUCUCAAUAGUUAGGUGAUAUUGUGGAAGCCGAGAGGAUAUUUUAUGGAGUGGGAGUCCAAUUGCUUUAGGUAUGAUAUUCGAGUCUCCGAUGUCCUUCUUGGUGCAUAUAUGCAGAAUGGAAUUGACUGACCAAGCUGAGGCAUUGCAUCUGCACACAUUGGAGAGAGGCGGUCAACCAGAUUAUAAGACAUGGGAGUUCCUUAUGGAAGGAAGGUUGACAAGCCAUAACAUAACAAGGCCAUUGGAGCGAUGAAAAAGGGGUUUAGUAUGUUGCAAGAUUGUCAUUGGAGACCAUCGGACAAUACUGUAAUGGCCUUUGCUGAUUAUUUCGAAAAGCAUGGGAACAUUGAGGAUGCCAAUUGGUAUACCAGAUUGUGCACUGAAAUAAAUUCGUUUUAUGUUGUCACUAAAAAAUUAUGCACUAAAAGAAUUCCUUUUAGAUUGUGCACCCAAAGAAAUCCUAAGAAAUUCAUGAAGGAAGUCCUUACAAAUUUAUAGAAAUCUAAUAAAAAUACUUGUAAAUCUGCCAAAAUCUAUAUAGAAUUGUAAAGUCUAUUAAAAUCCUUUAAAAUCUAUCAUUUGAAGAAAAUCCAUUAAAAUGCUCUGAAAUCCAAAUUGACUUUAAUGCUAUGGACUUGGUGGGGUUAUUUUUUUCUUCCUUCAAAGAAUCUAUAGUUUGUGUGUAAGUCCAUUGUCUUUUUGAGCACGAUAUUUUGUUGCCUUAUUUUUCAAGGUGAUAAAAAAAGGAACACGAUACAACUAUACUUGGUGGUAAUGGUGGAUGCACAUAGGGACUAGGGUGGUACCAUGACUCACCAGAUUUUCGAAAAAUGCCAUUGAAGGUCCUCUAAGAAUAUUUUGAACGCAUGGUACGAGACUCCUUUGUGUCCAUAAAAUGUUCAAUAAAUUACUUGUUUCGCAUAUCUCAACGACACUUGGGAUCCCCUAAAUUAGGAUCCUCAGAUAAUACUGGAUCCACCAAUGGUUGGUGGUGUUCAAAGAAAAUGAAAAUGAGUGCCCAAUGACCAACUAUUUCCUUUCCUUUUCAAAGAAAAAACCAACUAUUUCUGAGAGAAAAAAGUUUAUUUGUCACCUUCCUUUGAAAACAGUCAUUGUUCAUUGUUAUUCACUAGUCAAUCAUAAUUUAACAUAUCUCCAUCAUUUAGUAUUACAAUGUAGUGAUUUUUUUCACUAGUAAGUAAAAAAUCUUAAUUUUCACUGUCAUAAAUAACAAAUUCGAUAUAAAUUAUCUCGAUAUAAAAGAAAUAUGUGUCUAAAUCAAGAAUAAAGAAUUACUUCUUUUAUAUGCCUAGCUUCCUUCUUUUUUUCUUUUUUUGUUGUCGAAAAACAAGAAAUGAAUUGAAUGAGAAAAGUCCAAUACAAUGACAUUAAACUAGCCUAAUAAGGUGGGGAUAACUGAGACCUACUCCAACCCUUGAAGUAAAACUCAAAUUUUAGGUUCAAAACUUUCUCAAAUUGCUCCAACCUUUGGGGCAAAUAUGAGUUUUAACCCAAAACUCAUUUAUGGGGCAAAUUUAGCACACGAUUCCCCCUAGGUUAGUGGGGUUGACCCAUCAUAUAUGUGUGGUUUUUUUUUAGUUUUAUAUUUAUAAAUUCAUUGAAUCCAACGACUAAGAUCUAAUAUGAUCAAAUACAACGGUAAAAGAAAAGAUCUAAUGUUCCAAAUUUAAAUCCAACGGCUAAAGUAAUUAAAAAAUAUAUUUUAGGUGUUUCAUAUUCUUUCAUAGUGGUCCAUGAGUUUCAUUGGGUCGGUUUAGUGAUUUUCAAUAUUUAACAUAAUCUAAAUAUUUUAAGUUAAAAUGGUCAUAAAAUUAAAAUAGGAUAGCCUACAUAAUUUUUAUUCUUAAAGUUACUUUAAGAAAUAAAUUCAUUCUUAACAAUGUCAGGCUAAAAAUUUAGCCCAUAAGGGUUAGAGAAGAAAAACUGUUUCCGAGUUAAAACCUAACGACUAAGAUCUAAUAUGAUCAAAUCUACAAGUAAAAGAAAAGAUCUAAUGGUUCAAAUUUAAAUCCAACAACUAAAGUAAUUAAAAAAAUUAUUAUAGGUGUUUCAUAUUCUUUCAUAAUGUUCAAUGAGAGUUUCAUGGGGUCGGUUUAGUAAUUUUUCAAUAUUUAGGAUAAUCUACAUAAUUUUUUUUUAAAUUUACUUUGACAAAAAAAAAUCAUCCUAAAUUCAUUUUUUAAUAAUAUCAGGCUAAAAAUUUAGUUCAUAAGGGUUGGAGGAGAAAAUUUGUUUCUGGGUUAAAACCUAAAUUUUUCGGCUUAAAAAUUUUUGGUUUUAACCUCAAGGGUUGGAGAUAGUCUAAGGUGGGGAUAACCAAUGGCCAUUCAACAAAAAGGCAGAAGAAAAAAUCCUAAUCUUCAACCGCAAAGGCUAACCGCUGUCACCUUUAUCAGCUCGCCAGCGAUCACAAAGGUAGCCACCCGAAAAAGAUUAAUUUCGCAUUGUAUUCAAUGAAAGUAUCCCAGUGCAAAACAAUUCAACGUGCAAUAAAAACCGCCACGAAGAAGAGCCAACAAAUCCGGACCACAAACACAAGCCCCUGCAAGUUGAACAAAAAGCCAAAACAAAUGGUAAGGGAUGGGGCUAAAGGGGCAUCUAAACACCGUCGCUUUGAUAAAAGCCGCGACAAACUUGGGCCCUGAUUUGAUGCAUGAAUAUUAAAUCUUCAAAGCUGAAACUCAACCCUUUAUUGUUAUGCUGAUUUAAGAACUAAAUAGUCAAAAUGGGGAGAUGAGAUUGGAUUAAGUGUAAGGAUAUAAUUUUUUUAUUUUAAUCUUGUAAAGAAUUAUCAAUUUCUUGUUAUAAGAGGAAUUUCACAUAUUUUCACCCAGUUUCACUUUUCUUUUAUUUAAUUUAAUUUUUAGCUGACGAGCCGGAUUUGGAUUAGAGAUUUUUCCUACUGACCCCAGUUCGGGCGUCACAAAAGUAGCCUUCGCCUCUAGUCGUCAUCUAGCCUAUGGAUAGAGGGCCCCACAAGUUAACUAAAAUAUAAAUUCAUGAUUACAUCAAUAAAUAGUUGGGUGCUAUUAUUUUUGUCUUGAAAGACAUAAUUAAUAUUAUUAUAUACUCCCUAGUGCUUAGCCCACAUCAAUUAAUUUGUCAAAAUGUUGUUCAGCCUUAACAAUUAUUUUACCUGUAGGUGAUUAAGUGCGUAAUUUUAUGACUAACUUUCAAAUAUAACUUAUUGUUGCCGACUGAUUGAGCAACGCUCAAACUUAUAACAGAGUUUCAGAAACUAAUUUAUUGUAAGCAAUUGAUUGAUUGACUCGCUCAAACUUAUGACGCAUGUGUACCCUUCUUCAAAUACUGCGUGAAUGAUACACAAAUUUCAAUACUUAUUAAUGGGAUCAUAUAUAUUAUAAAUCAGUUUGUAAAUAUUAUUUUUGAAAAAAAAAUCAACAUGAGCUAUGAAAUCUGUUGCUGGCUAUUGGCCCAUUUUCGUGAUUAUUGAAUUUGUUGAGAUACUUAAGCCUUAUGUAACGCUCCUGAGAGAAAAACAAAAGCCAUGUGUUGUGUCCUGGCACCUUGUCACCAGUGUUUAUGAUUGAUUAUUGCAAGUUGGGGCAUGAAGCUGCUACAUAAUUUCUCAUUACAAAUUGAAUAAUAUUAUGUCCAUCAAUGUUUCGUCAACCCUUGCGGGCAGCCCUUGGACCUUUCUGUUUGUCUUGCCUUUCCUCCACCGACCGCCUUGAAAAAAAGGUGUGAACUGAUGACGAUGCUCCCUUAAUUUGUCUUCCUUCUUGUGUGAACGCGUUGAAUUUUUGUACGCGGAAGGUAAAGGUCCUUGAGUUUAGAAAAUGUGAUUUUAAUCUUGGUUAAGAUUAUAGUUAGAAAAAUGUCUUAUGCAAAAUUAAAUAUUGAUUAUAGUUCCUGAUUAUACAUCCAUGUCAAUAUAUAUUAUCCAUGUCAGCUUUUAUUUUUAUGGGUGGUUUUAUUGAUUCUAUUUUCCCAACAUUGCCCUUAUGCGAUGAUGGACAAUAACAAAUUUUAAAUGCUGAGGUAUGAGUGUGCAGUUCUUGCUAAAUAUCCGCAAUAAACAAACGAACUAACUGAAUAUAAAACUUUACUAAAUGGAAUCAAGGUUCUAAAAAACGCUAGGCGCUAGUCGGGCGGCGGGCUAGCGCCUAGCGCCUAGGCGGCCUAGACGGAUUUAGGUAAAUUUAUUGUAUAUCUUGUAAAUAAGUGCAUAUUGACGCCUAAAAAAAACUAUACUUGUAUGGAUAAUAAAAUAAUGAUAAAAUGCAAAUUAGGUACACUAUUUCCAUAAGUAUUGGAUGAACUUGUAGUAAAUCCAUCAUUUGCAAAUUAGAUACACCAUUUCCAUAAGUAUACCACCAUGAAACCAAAAAAAGAAAAAAGCACGCAAUUAAUAAAAAAUAAAAAAUAAAAAAAAUCUCCUAGGACCGCCUAGCCCGCCUAACCCGCCUAGCCGCCCAGCCCGCCUAGGCCCAACCCGAUUUUUCCUCCCGAUUUGCCUAAAAACGCCUCGGUUGCUAAGCGCCCAGCGCCUAAGCCGUUUUUUAGAACACUGAAUGGAAUUGCCAAGAAGGCUACAUGAACCAAAAAACUACAUUUUGAUUGACUUAUUUUCUCUAAAUAACAAAGUUCUCUAUUUAUAAUAAACUAACCUUAAUCCCUAAUAAGCAAGAAAACGAAAACCUAAUUCUAAUUGGCUAAGCCCAAAUCUAAACUCUCUCUCUAUCACUUGCUAAAGAUCUAAACUCUCUGGGCAUGUACAGACCGAGGUGAGGUCCGAUUCAAGUGAAAUUUCUCCUGCAUGACUCCGCCAUUCACGACCUAGGUAAGAUUCGAGUCCAUCAUUUCCCUUCAUAUCGAUCAGAUAGCUUGAUUUCUGAGUUACCAUGUGAAAAAUAAACGUGUUUUGGUGCAGAACCACUGUUCUAAAAAUCCUCACCUAGCGCCACCUAAGCGCUAGGCGGUUGGCCACCGUCCCGAUUAAUGCCUAGGCGUUUGAAAAUUAAGAAAUGGCACCUAGACCUGUUGAGGCACCCACCUAGCCCGCCCAAACUCGCCUAGACACUUGCCUAGGUUGCAACUCACUUAGAUAGAAAAUAGAUAACUUUGCUUUUGCAUUUUAUUGUUUUCAAUAAAUGUAAGAGGCUUAUUAAACACUUAAAUAAACACACUUUAUAUGUUUAUUGCCCAUAUUUUUAUUAUGUUCCAAUACUUCAUAAUAUAUAUGUCAUUUUAUUUUCUAAUUUAUGAUGAAAUUAUAUAUAUUUUAAGUAUAAACAGAUACUUAUUUACACUAAAUACAACAGAUUUACUUAAAUCCGCCUAGCCGCCUAGGUGCUAAGCUCCAACCCGCUGCCCAACUACCAUGUUGGGGAUGAACUUCUCCAGAUUUUCAAGCGACUUUUGAGUCGUUUCCGGCCACGGUCGAGGAAACCAAAGGUAUAUUUUGAUUCCUUGUUCUCCGAGCUUCGAUUUGAUAAAUGGGAAGGCUAUAUUUAGUUAAGUAUUUGGGUUGGUCAGAGUUCCGGUUGCCGUUUCCCCAGAAUCUGGCGGUUGCAAUGGCAACCUGCAGGAGAAUAAGAAGAAGAAAAAAAGAAAAAAAAAGGGGCUUAUCUGGAUCCAUGGGCCUAAGUCCAAAUCCGACCCAAAACUUUAAGCUUAAGCCUUUGGGCCUUUGUCCCACCGGCCCAUUUUUGAAAUGGGCUCAGAAUAUUCUGAGAAUAUUCUUUGGAAUAUUCCUUGGGUUGACUUUUUCAGAAAUUUCUCGAAACCUUCCUAGGCUAAUUUCAACACCCUGAGUACGUUUUUGACAUCCAUUUAGUGAAAUUCCAAGGUUUAACAUGGUGACCACCGGGACGUCCUGGUUGACUUUUGUUUGGGUUGACCGUUAUAAAAAUUGUCUGUGACCUCUCUUAGCGUAAUUCGACGCGCUGAUUCCAAAUCCGCCGUCCGUUUCUCCAAAUUCAAUUUUUUUUAAUUGAGUUUUACUAAUGGGUCUCAAUAUUAUGCUUAGGUGCGAUUACUAUUAAAGACUCACUAUCCUAGUUCGAACGGUUGCAAUAUUGAAAGUAUCUGUGAGUGGGUCUUUGCUUUUAAAUAUUAUAUAUUUAUUUAGUUUCCAUUUAUACAUUUGAAAAAGGAUUUCCUAUGUAUGCCUAGAUUAGACUAAUGUUUAUAAGAAUUAGCGAAAUAACAGAAAUUACGAAAUUAUCCUAAAUCUUACGAGAUGCACAGGUAUGUGUACUUGAUGGGAUUUUAAUUACAGCCAUGAUUAAUAUUUUAUUUAUUAAUAUUAUGUCGAUGUGAAUUAUUGAUUUACGGUUGCAUGAUUAUAUUUACGUUAUUUGCUCAUCGUUGAUGCACCGGUGUUAGUACUUGCCUGGCCAGGGCCAAUGUUUCACUUGUAUGUGCACAUUGCACCGUACACUCACUUUGGAUAUAUUGUAGGUGCCAGUCAUGUCCUAGAUUGCUAUGGCAAUUAGGACUUGUAUGUACUGCACAUAGCGCCAGUUUUCACGUGAUUGUAGUACUAUAGCGUAAAUCAUUAUUACACCCUGUCAUGUUCAUGUCAGAAUACCUCUGCAUGAACUCGUGUGUCAGCAUGUGUCGAUGAGCACUCAAUAUGAUAUGUUUUCUUAUGCAAGAUUAUGUGAUUACGGACGCCAUGUGCGUACUUAUAAAAUUUGUGCCAUAUUGAUUUCUUAAGACUUUGCAGGCUACGGUAAGUAUUUUCUUACUAUACGUAGCAUUUAUAUUUUGGAAACUAUACUUGUUUUACGACAAGGGGUUAUUAUGUUUUCAAAAAGGUUUUUACAAAGCUUUGUUUUUAGGCCCAUUCAUCCUUGUUUUUUGCGCAUCCAGGUUGUAGUGCUGAGCUUUCGUAUUGACGAGAAUUCUUGGCAAAUCUUGGUGUUGGAGAUUACCUUCAAUGGUAAUUUUCAUCCAACUUUAUUGUACUUUACUUAUGCUUUGACAUCACGUGUGAAAUGGGUUCAUUCCCGCUCACAUGUGCACUCUUGUGUUUAGACACUUUUAGUUUUAAAUUUAUUCACCUUUUUCCACAUCACUUUAUGGCUUCAUGACCCUUCAUGUGUCGGCCAACAUAGCUCGAUUCAGAAUCUGUGGAUGCAAAUUUCUUCCUCCUUGAUCUUGGACAAAAUUGCACCUACAAAACAAAUCACACCUUAGGUCAAGGCCAAGAGCCUCACGCGUCCACAAUGAAUGAUGGGGGCUUUGGUCAAAGAAUCCCCGAUGCCAAAGUUAGAAUUUUGAGGGAAAAGUGUUUGAAGAAUUGUGUUGAAUUUUGCUAGAGAACUGGAAGUGAGUUUUGGAGAGAAUGUAAGGCCUUUUAUAGGGGUGUGGCCGGCCUCCUUGGGUGAGAAAGGACUGGCCACUUAGCUCUCUUUGUGGGCUAGGUUCUUGAUUUGUGUUUAAUUAGGUAUAAUUGAAUAAUUAACAAAUUAAUUAGCCAAUUAAUAGAAUAAUAGCCUAAUUGAUUAGCUAAUUAAUAUAAUAAAAAGGGAAAGAUUUGGGAGUUACCUUGUGGAGACAAUUUGAUGAGGAUGGAUGAAAUAGGUUUUGAAUUGUUACCUAUUUUAGGCACUUUUGACUUGGUUUAGGGAUGAUUGCUCGCUGCUCGCGCGUAGGAAUCCCAAUGUGCCUUAAGGGUAAUUUUGUCCCCUUUUACCCAAAAAUCCACGUGUCUCCUUGUGAUUAUUUUUGGCUCCACAAAUGCCUCCACACAUGCUGGGCUGCUCGCAGGAAAGGGUUGCAGGUGUAGAGAUCUUCUUACUUUAUGAAACUUAGGACUGUUUCCUAUUUUGAUGUAGAUUCCAUCUUUAAUAGAAAAUUAGAUCAUUCUAGGAAAGUGAAAUAAAUUUCUCUCAAAGCCUAUUUAAGUAUACCUUAAGUGGGUUAUUAAAUACACUUUGGAGAGUGAUUUAUUCUACCCUACAAGAGAGAGAGAGCUUAGAGGAUAUUUGUUCCCCCUCGUAUAACAAUCUUCUACAUCUUGCCCGUGCAAAUGAUCAUAUUUUGUUGCUUACUUCGUCUUCUUCUUGCUUCUAGGUAAGAAAAUUUUAUUUUUCUUGUCUUCAUAACUUUUUUUGAAAGUCUCGGGGCUUGAGAGUGACUCAACAGGGGUUGAGGUGGCUUGAAAUUUUUUUUGGAAAGACCAUGACAUUGUUGCCAUGGGUCAUGGUGUGUCAUUGGAUGGCUAGGCUCAACUCGGGCUGUGAGGAGGGAGAGGAUAUGAGGGCGUCAGUCCCCUGUCAGCUGAAUUUAGGCUGCGAGGCCUUUGGGCCGAGAGGGAUGGUGGGGGAGCCAGAGUGGGCUGGGCUCCCUUUUUUGCCUUUUUUUUAAAGGCUGGGCUUGGGCCCGUGCCUAAAGGAGAAAAGGAAGAAUGAAGCCGAGUGCCUCUUUUGGGCCGAGGGGCCUACUUGUGUUUUUUUUUUUUUUGAAGCAACCGUCUAAUGAAUUUUCCUUGCAACUUUGUAGAAUUUUUUCAAGCAUGUCUUCCUUGAACCUCAAGAAUGAUGAUUGUGUGCCGCCAUUGUAUCGUCAAGGUGGGUCUUUGAGCAAGGUUGGCUACUUCAAGGUUGUUCACAUCAAGAUUAGCUCCGACGACUUGUUUAGAGACUUCUUCGAAGCUUAUUGGCAUGCUAUUCCGUCGGGAGUGCGCGUGAAGUGUGUCAAAGAUGGUAGCAGCCAUGAGCCAUGUGAUGGGGCUUGGAGAGUCAUCAAGUUCCACCCCUACUAUUUUGUAUUGGGGUUUACCUUUCCUGUGCUGUGUUUUUUCCAAGAAGUACUUUGCUCCAUGAGAUGUGCCCCCGCUUAAUGUUCUCCGAAUGCGGUCCACGUGAUGGUGGGAUUCCACAAUUUAAACUAAUUAUUUGACUUAGAUCUAACCGUCAACACUUCUUUGACAUAAGUCACAUUGAGGGAGUUGGGCAGCUGCAAUUCCGCCAUAGACUUUUUGACAACUCGAGCAAGGGAGAUCAUGACUGGGCCAAUGAAACUUUGGAAGUGAGUGGAGAAUGGGAAUAUAACUCUUCCCCUGAGCUGCAUGUGCCAGGGUCUUCAUAUCUGGUAAGUAAGCUGCUUAACCUUUCGACUGCUUUGUACUUGUGCUAAUACUGCUUCUAUUUUUCUAAUUGCCUUCCGUUGCUUUUGUAGAUUCCGAGUUUGGCUCAACUUCUAAGACUUCUCCGGACAUGAGGAAAUUGCAUAUUGCUCUUGGUAUUCCCUCUAAGUAUCGUGAGUGGCGUUGGCUUCUUAGCCCUCUUCAUAGGGAGAAAGGUGGGUUGCCCCCGAGAGAAGAGAUAAAACGGAUCAAGGCUAAGGCGUUGGCUCGUUCUAUCACUCCGGUGGAGCCUACUGCAAAUAAAGGUGGGAAAAAGAUACCUUCCCUGCCUGCUUAGGAGACACCUGCUGAGAAGAAAUUGAAGGCUUCUUCCACUGCUCACAGAGGUUCACUGGCUGCUCAAGAGACGUCUGCUGAGAAGAAGUCAAAGAUUUCCUCCACUGCUCACGAGGAUUCACCGGCUGCUCCCAAACUUAUGAUUGAUUUGACCUCCUCCAAGGGCGAGAAAGAAGAGGUUGCUAGAUCUGUGCCGGUGACGCCUGCCGCUCUGAAGGUUACUAGUUCGAUUGCUGAUAUGAUUGCCCAGCAUAGAAGCUCAUCCGUGUCUUCGGUGCCGAAGUUUGUGCCAAAGCAUCCAUUUGGGGCUAAGUCUGGUUCACUUUUGGAGAUGCUUGCUAUUAUGAAGAAUAACAAGAUGCCCCUGCCUGUUAAAGUGGCGUCAAAACUUUUUCCCUCUGCUGCUGAAACCGACUCGUCUGCUUAGAAGAAGGAAAAUGCUUGAGAAAGCAGCUGUGAAAAAUCCACCAAGAUGGUUUCUGGGGAAAUUGCUGAGAUUUGUGCGCUUUUGAAGCCAGAUCUGCUUGAGGAUAUGGAUAUAUGUCCCAAGUUUGUUGAUGGUGUCAAGGAGAUUGUUCACCUCAGUCUCUUCAUGAAGCAUAUGUCGGAGUAUAGGAAGACUGUUUUGCUAGCCAUGAUGCAGAAAACAACGAUUCUGGCAGCCGAGUCUAUGUUCCUUGAUUAAGAGAAUACCAAGGCUACCAAGGAGGUGGCAAGAACUAUGGCAACCGAAGUUUACUCCUCGGCCGAGAAAGUCAAGAAAUUAGAAUCUGAGCUUGCUGCUUUGAAGAGGUCUAACAUCUAUGCCCCCACUUCUCCACAGUUUGAAACCACUCGCCAAAAGAUCGUGGAUUUGAAUACUAGGCUUGACGUGAUCCAAGUAAAGUAUGAAAUUGCAGAGAAGGAAAUCAGGUGUUACAUACCUCAAAUUCAAAAUCUUGAGCGCUCUAUCUCUGAAUUUCGCUCCGCUGCUUAUGCAAGGGAUAAAGAGCUGAUCGCUGCUUACAACCAAGUGAUCCACUUCAAAAAGGUCAUUGAUAGACUCAAGCCUCAAGUGUUAGAGCUUCAAGGUGCUUUAAAGCUCAACGAUAAUCUGAAGAAAAAAAUGGAGGAGCUACAGCGGAUUCGUGCUUGUCUGCUUAAGGAGAAUGAGCAGUUGAAGGGUGAAAAGGUUGGGUUCAAGGCUUCUUUUACUUAGAGUCAAGCUGGGUUAUGUGGACCAUCUCUUCGAGAGGCCGUUUGACUUUGAGUUUUCUGGUAAAGACUUCGAGACCUUCUCUAUUUCUCCGGAAGAUUUGCUCGCCUUCAUCUUUGAGUCUUCUAUUGGUGAAGGGGUCGGAGAGGUUGGUGCCCAAGUUGGGGCAGCUGGUGGGGAAGCAUCGGAUGGUACCGUGGCUGAGAGUGUUGCGGCUACUGAAGGUGUGACGACUGAGUAGUCAUGGGAUGUCCAAGCUACUGAAUAAUAGUCUUCUAAGUAGCCUUUAGGAUUUUCUUUUUUUUCCUUGUUGCUUUUGCUUGAACCUCUUUGAUCUUUGCUAGUUGUUUAUCAAUUUUGCUAGAAAAUUUAAUAAACUUGCUUCCCUUGCUUUUCUCCAUCUUCGCUUCUUUUGUUCAUACCUUUAACCUUUAGACUUUAUAGACCAAUGGUGAGCAUGCUACUUUUCUAUAAGCAGACAAGCUCGCGUAGCGUAUACAACUGUAGGUGUUGGUGUAGAACUUUGCAAAGUUAUUAACCAUAGGGUUGGCAACCGGAUGUCUUACUUACAGAAGCAGACAAGUCCGCGUAACCACUAGGUUGUUAACCUUGGCUUUUUCCAAUUUCAUAGGAUGCGUAGCAAGUAUCACAACACUUUAGGACUUGGUGUAGGUUGUUCCAUGCUUCGCAGAGGUGAAGUUUAUCGACUAUAUAGCAUGUCGGUAGUGGAUAGGAACUUCGUAUAUGCACGCUAGAUUGUUUAAUCUUUCACAAGAAUGUGCAGUUGUAUAAGUCUAAUGUGACUUUACUGCUUGAAGGGCAAGCCGUAGGCAGUCUUCUAAAAACCGUAGGCUACCUUAGUGCACUCGGUAAUAGCUUUAGUUUUCCAAGGCAUCCAUCUAUAGGGCGUAUUGGGUAAUGUGCCCCAUCUGCCUCUAGGGCCCGGUUCCCAACGAAUUAGGCCAAAAGACCCAUAAUCCUUCAGGUAACUAAGCCUUGAAAAAGACCAUUGUGGCUACUUUUAGGAAUCCCGGUGUAAGCCAUCGUGCAUCUAGUUAUACUAGGGUAGUCUAGCUCAUCCACGUCUGGAUAUUCGGAGUGUUAGUUUAUCCUCCCACUUUGGAAAGCAUGAUUGGUCUAUCGGGGGGUGCAAUUCUUGCGAUGAGUCCCUUAAAAGGGCGCGAUCUUCUUUUGAAAUGCAAGAGAGAUAAGUUGUUGUAGACAUAUAGUCGAGCCAGUUUGUAAAUUACUUCUUAAUUCCUCAUUAAAAAAAAUGAGUGAAACGAACGAAUAAUUUAGCUGUAAAAGACUGCAUAAUAAUUAGAUAGUCCUUGGUUUGCGAGGUGGUGCCCGUUUAGCUGAUUGAGUCUUCGGGUCUUGAUAUAGUGGGAGGUCAUACAUGGUACUUCCUCAGGUUAUAGGUGUUCCAUUGCUUUUCAAUCUCUUUGUCGUUCAUGGUGGCGAUAAUGUAACUAUCCUUGCCACCUACUCUGUUGAUCUUGUACGGACCUUCCCAUAUGGGAUCCAUCUUUUUGGAGCCUUCUUUACGGGCAGUGAUGAAGGCUCUUCUUAGGACUAGAUCUCCGAGUUGAAAUUGUCGAAUCUUUGCCCUUUUGUUAUAGCUGGAAAGAAGCUGGUGCUGGUAGGCUGCGAUGCGAGUGAUGGUCUGCUCUCACUUUUCCUCUACCAGAUAUAAGCUUGUGGCCAUCUCGUUACUGUUCCGCUCAACAUUUGGCAGUACAGUGUUAUUGCUUGGCACGAUAAUGUUGGGAGGAAUGGUUGCUUCCGAGCUAAAUGCCAAAGAGAAAGGAGUCUCACCGGUUGCUUGUCUUUUAGUGGUAAUAUGCCCAAAGACAUCCAGGGAAUUCGUCUAGCCAUUUUCCCUUCUUGUCAGUAAGGGAUUUCUUGAGGUAGUCAAGGAUUGUCUUGUUGGAUGCUUCAGCUUGCCCAUUGCCUUAAGGAUACCUCGGUGUGGACAUGUGUUGCUUGAUGCCAUACUUUUUGAAGAACUUCGCUAAAUCUUUGUCCAUGAAUUACGGGCUGUUGUCGGUGAUGAUGGACUGAUGAAUGCCAAAUUAACAAAUGAUGUUCCUCCAAAUGAACGCUAUAUAUCCAUAUGAGUCGUGGUUGUCAUGGGCUCUGCUUCUACCCAUUUGGUGAAGUAAUCGGUUGCCAAGAUCAUCAUGCCUCUGCCCCCAGUAGUAAGCGGCAUAGGUCCCACUAGGUUGAUCGCCCACUGUAUGAACGGCCAAUGACUCGUCUGCAGAUGUAGUUCGCUGGCAGACAAUGCAGGUACCGACUUGUAGCGUUGGCAGCAGUCGUACUUUUGUACUAACUCUUUAGCAUCUUGGUGCAUGAUAGGCUAGUAAUCGCCCGCGUUGAGAGCCUUUUGUGCUAAGGAUCGGCCUCUGGAAUGAUUUCCACAAACGCCUUCAUGGAUUGAGCUUAGAACCUUCAAGUUAUCAGGAGACGCUAGGUAAUAGAGAUGUGGUCCGGUGUAGGAUCUUCAGAUAAGAAUGUCGUUCCACAUGUAGUAGCGUGCUGCCUUUACUUGGAGCUUUAUAGACUUCAAUAUUUCCGUAGGGAGUGUGCCAUUGACCAGGUAUUCUAUAAUAGAACUUUGCCAGUUGGGAGUUAUACUAAACUAUGACACCUCGGCUGCCAGCUCCACUUCUAUGCUUGGCUUGUCUAGAUACUCCACCAGAAUAGAAUGUUUGAGUUGGUGGUCAAUAGUGGAGCCAAGGCCGGCUAACGCAUUCGCGUGAGCGUUGUCUGCUCACGAAACUUGAGUGAGAGUGUAAGUCUGAAAUGCCUCAAGCUGCUUACGUACCUUCUCUAGGUAUUGCGCCAUCCUUGUAUGUUUUGCCGUGAACUCCCCAGUAGCCUAGCUGGUGAUUAGUUGGGAAUCAAAAUAAAUUGCAAGUUUCUUCAACGCCAAGUCUUUUGCCAUCCGAAGGCUAGCUAAUAGAGCCCCAUACUAUGGGGCUUCAUUGUUGGAUGCUUAGAAGCCUAGAUUGAUCACCUGCUCGAGCAUUUAACCAUCUGGGGUGACAAGAACCACGCCUACUCCCGAGCCUUAGUAAUUGGAUACACCAUCAGCAUACAAGUGCCAAAAGUCUCCAUUGGGGAAAGCAGGUACGGUUAAGGCAUGCUUGGCUGCUUCUGGGGCAACAUUAGGCUCUCUGUUGCGUCGCCUAGGCUAGGCGUGAAUUAUGCUAUGAAGUCUGCCAAGGCUUUGGCCUUUAUCGUCGUGCAAGAUCAGAAAACUAAGCCGUAUUGGCAAAGUUCCAAUGCCCAUUUCAUCACUCUUUGAGAAUCGUCUGGACCAUGUAAGAUUGAUCGUAGAGGAUAUUAAGUUAUGACGAUGACUGUAUGAGCUUGAAAAUAUGGUCUGAGCUUCUGAGCCGCAACAACUAGCGCCAAAAUUAAUUUUUCGAUCUUCAGGUAUCUAGUUUUUGCAUCAAGAAGAGCUUUAGAAGUGUAGAAUACCAAUAGUUGGGCCCCUAACUCUUCUCGUAUGAGGGCAGAGCUCACUGCUACUUCUGAGAUUGUCAAGUAGAUGUAUAAGUCCUCCGCUGCUUCCGACUUGGAUAGUAAGGGAGGUGAAAUAAGAUACUUCUUCAGGUCUUGGAAAUUUCUUUCGUAUUCUUCAUCCCAUUUGUCUCGUUAUGCCCUCUUGAUGGCAUUGAAAAAAAGCUUGCAUGGAUCGGUGGACUGUGAAAGAAAGUAAUUGAGGGCGGUUGGUUGUCCAGUCAAGCUUUAGAUCUCUUUCAAGGUGGUGAGAGACUUCAUUUCUAGGAUCGCUUAAACUUGCUUGGGAUGUGCUUCGAUUCCUCGUUGUGUUACUAGGUACCCAAAAAACCUGCCUGAAGAUACUCCAAAUGUGCAUUUGGUGGGGUUAAGCUUCAUCUUGUAUUUUGUAAGAAUAUUGAAAGUUUUCGCCAAGUUGCGGAUGUGGUUUGACCGAUGCUUGCCUUUUACCAUGAUGUCAUCGACAUAGACCUCCAUAGUUACCCCAAUUUACUUCUUAAACAUCAUGUUCACUAACCUUUGGUAAGUGGCUCCCGCAUUCUUGAGGCCAAAGGGUAUGACUUUGUAGCAAUAGGUGCCUCGCUCGAUCACGAAUGUAGUUUUCUCCUUAUCAGGCUCGUAAAUGGCUAUUUGGUUGUAGUCGGAGUAUGUGUCUAAGAAAUUGAGUAGCUGACUCUAGAACGUUGAAUCUACAAGCAAGUCGAUUCGAGGAACUGGAUAGGGAUCCUUCAGGCAUACUUUGUUGAGAUCAGUGUAGUCUACGCAAACCCUUUAUUUGCUCUUAUCUUUUUUCACAACUAGUAGAACGUUGGCAAGCCAUGCUAAAUGUGCUACCUCUUCUGUGAAUCCAACCUCCAGUAGCUUGUCAAAUUCUGCUUCGAUGAUCUCUACUCAUUCGGGCGCAAAGUGUCUUCUCUUUUAGAUCACUAGUGUGAUAGUGGGGUCGACGUGCAGCUUGUGGCAAGCUACUUCAGGGUCGAUGUCGGGCAUGUCAGAAGGUGACCAUGCAAAGACAUCAUGAUUUUCCUUAAGGAAAGCCGUGAGUUCUUCCUUCUUAGCUGGGCUCAAGCGUGAGCCAAUUCUAGCCGUCUUUUCUGGCUGUUGGGGAUCAAGAAUGAUGUCCUUGACGUCCUUCUUGGGUUUCCAUCCUUUCUUGUUUGGUUGCGCGUUUGUUUGGACUCCAUCUUCUUGAUCCGCUUUCUGAAAUUGCUAUUUGGUAGCUUCUUCAUCCUUUUAGACCUCGGUAACCUCUACGGGGGUAAAGGUUUUCUUCAUUGACUCCUUUAAUACUUGCAGUGUAUCGUCGGGAUACGGCCUGGUCAAACUUGAUUUCUUCGAUUCCUCUUCCCAGGAUGCGGAAUCAUAUUUUUUGGUACUUGACAGAAGUGACAGCAUCUAGCUUGAUUAACCAAGGUCUCCUAAGAAUCUUACUUGACAGAAGUGACAGCAUCUAACUUGAUUAACCAAGGUCUCCUAAGAAUCUCAUUGUAGGGAGAUGGGUUACUUACGAUCGUGAACGUCUGCUUUGAGACCACUGGCGGUGUUUUCACAUCAAGGGUAAUGUAAUCGAUUGUAGUUGAGGUAUACCCUUUGAAUCUGGUGAGUACCUCUGCUCGGCAUAUGAUUUUGCUUUCCAGACCCAUCUUCUGAAUUACUGAGAGUUGAAGUAAGUUGACUGCACUUCCAUUAUCAACCACCAUUCUGUCAACUAUAGCAUGGGCUAGUCAGACAGAGACCACUAAUGCGUCGUCGUGUGGGAAAUCGACACUUUCUACAUCCUGCUCGAUGAAGCCAAUGAUGGGUCCAGAUUGAGUGUUGACUGCUUGGACUUGGGAGAUUAGCAACGUCUGUUAGAUCUUUCUCUUCUUAGAAUUGUUGGUGGCCCCCAAGUGCUCAGACUCAACGAAGAUGCCAUUAAUCUGAAUCAUCUUGUUUGGUGGAUCUUCAUCUGCAUCCGCCUUCCUUCUAGGCUGCACAGCCGACUUGUCUAAGUAUAUGUCGACUUUUCCUUCUUUCACAAGCUUCUCUAAGUAGUUCUUCCAAGUGUAGCAGUCGUCAGUUGUGACCUGGACAUCGGUGGAAUGUUUAAUAUUUGGUGUGCUCUAACUUGGAAGUGUCUCAUUUUAAUUGCUUUGGCAGCUUGAACCGUGGCUCGUUCUUGACAUCGAGAAUGAUUUGGUGGAUCAAAAUCGAGAACUUGUAGUUCUUGGUUAUCGAACCUCCUUUAGUCGGGAAUCAGUCCAAACGCUUGGCCCCCUGCCUGGUUUUGUUGUUUUCCUGCUUUCCAUCCUCCUUCUUUACUGCCACUUUUUUCCAAGGUUGCUCGAGCGCCUUGUCUACUCGCCGAGCCUAUUCCCAAAGCGCGUGCUUCUCUGCUAAAGCAAAAUAGUCAGCUAGAGUUAGAUAUUCUUUCAUGAUCAACUCUCCAAACAACAGGUGGUAUGCCGGAAGUCUUUUUUGGAAGGCUGCUUUUGCUAUCGAGUUGUCGCAUACAACUAUCUUCGCCUUCUCUGCUUUGAACCUCUUCACGUAAUUACGUAAUGACUCAUUUAGGUUCUUCUUCACAUAGAACAAGUGGCCGAACUUCUUCUUGAUUGAGCGGCAGGAGGAAUACUCUUCGGUGAAAACCAAAGAAAGAUCAUUGAAACUCCUGAUAGAUCGCAGCAACAAAGUGUGGAACAAUCUUGCGCAUCACCUUACAAAGUGAUGGCGAAUAUUUGCACAUAAGGGCAUUGUUGUUCCGAUAAAGGACCAUUGUGCUUCAGUAGUGCUUCAAGUGUCUUUCUGGAUCUCCAUCUCCUUUGAAAGAUGUGAAGUGCGGCAUGCUAAAUUUGCGUAGAGGCUCUACCUGCUUAAUUUCGUCCGUGAAGGAUGACCUGCUCAUAUUGGUCAUGUCUCAUCGUAGUUACUCAUUAGCGACUUUGUUGCAUUGGAAAUCAUGUAAUUGCUCGUUCAUGAGCCUUUCUACCUCUUUCUAAAUUAGCCUUUGUUGGGGUAGUGGAGCUCUCGACUGCCCCCGAUCUUGACCUGCUGGUCUAGGCUACUCUUCUACGUGCUCGGUUCGUCUAUGCCACGGCAGCGGUGCAUGUGGUAUGUUCCUAGCAAGCAAGGGAAUUCUUCGCAGGCUAUCGGUUAAACUUGAGAUGGAUUAAAUGACUGUUUAUCUCCGUUCGUCGGGCUACCUACUCCGAUAUGAGGUGAAGGAUACUCCUUGUGAGCUUAGCCACGAAUGAACACUUUGCCUGGAAGGCUACUCAUGUUGACCAUUAGAGUGUGGCCUCAACCAUGAAUGUAUGCUCGUUCGUGGGCCUAGUUGAGAGUGCACGCUCCUCCACGCGUAAAGAAUGGAGUAUACGUUAUCUCGGGGGCCCAGUCAGGAGUGUACAUUGCCUGAACUCUCGGUUCAUAGCUGGUCGAGUAAUUGCUUACUAGGAUGUUGCUGGAAAUGUUCGUCUGCCCUUGUCCUACUUUGGGACACCUCGUCUGGGGUACGUUGGGUUUCGGUGCGUUGCAAGAGUUAAUUCACCAAGGUCGUCUGUUGUGCAAGGGCACUUGUCAACUCAAUAACUUGUCGAGACAAGUGUUGUUCGCCAUUUGGAUUGGAAGAGCUUGGAAGAAAUGCACCUUCUUGAGUAAUGGAAGUGUGGUAGGCUCCGGGCGCGAGAUGUCAAAUCUGCGGAGAAAUGUGGUGAAAAUGCCCCCGAUUGGACUGUAGGUCCUGAAACUUGGAGUCGGGAUGGUUAUGCUACUCUUGGGCCGACUUGGGCUGCUUGGAGAACCACGGGAGCAGGCUAGGUUGUGGGUAGGCUUGGCCAUGGGAGCAGGCUGCUCAGUGCGUGAUGCAUGCGAGUGCAAGGCUUGGGCCAUGGCUUUGGUGCCAUAAGCCUUGGAUGGCACGAUUUGGGCCGUGGUAGUGGUGCCAUGGACCUCGCCGCGAGUGAUUACCAUGGUGGUCACCACGAUGGUUGCCAUGGUAAAGCCUCGUAGCGGUAGUGCCGCUCCACCUAUGAUCACAUUUAGCCUCGUGGAUCGUCGCGGUCCCAUUUCUUGAAUAUUGGAAUUUUCACUUGUGGAAUUUUCUAAAUUUCUCGCCAUUGUAUAUCUAUUUUACGUUUUAUCAAAGAAUCUUUGCAAAUAAAAAUUUCUAAUAAUAAGAACAUACAAAAAAUAUACAAAUGGACAAGAAAAUAGAAAAACCUUUUAUGCGAGAAUCUUCCACGAGCGUGUGACUCUUAUCUCAAUGAAAGCACCAAUUUGUGGAUGCAAAUUUCUUCCUACUUGAUUUUGGAUAAAAUUGCACCUACAAAACAAAUCACACCUUAGGUCAAGGCUAAGAGCCUCAUGCGCCCACGAUGAAUUGGGGGGCCCUUUGGCCGAAGAACCUCCGAUGCCAAAGUUAGAAUUUUGAGGGAAAAGUGUUUGGAGAAUUGUGUAGAAUUUUGCUAGAGAAUUGCAAGUGAGUUUUGGAGAGAAUGUGAGGCCUUUUAUAGGGGUGUGGCCGGCCUCCUUAGGUGAGAGAUAACCAGCCACUUGGCUCUCUUUGUGGGCUAGGUUCUUGAUUUGUGUUUAAUCGGGUAUAAUUGAAUAAUUAACUAAUUAAUUAGUCAAUUAAUAGAAUAAUUGCCUACUUGAUUAGCUAAUUAAUAUAAUAAAAAGGGAAAGAUUUGGGAGUUACCUUGUGGAGAUGAUUUGAUGAGGAUAGAUGAAAUAGGUUUUGAAUUGUUAAUAGUUUGGGCACUUUUGACUUGGUUUAGAGAUGUUUGCCCGUUGCUCGCACGUAGGAAUCCUGAUGUGCCUCAAGGGUAAUUUUGUCCUCUUUUACCCAAAAAUCCACAUGUCUUCUUGUGAUUAUUUUUGGCUCCACAGAGUCCAGGUGGACAUUCUGGGUUGAGGUGUGUCAUCUCAAUUACAAGUGAAGAGGAAUACCACUAGAUCGUAGUACUAAAUGGCAAAAUAUUCUUCUUUACUUGUAGUUGAUUAAGUGCAUAAUUUUAUGACCAACUUUCAAAGAUAGUGAGUUCGAUACUAAUUUAUUGUAGUCGACUGAUUGAGCACCUUGCUCAAAUUUCUUCACCAUAGCUCAGUUGUAUUAAACCCAAUAAUUUACAUUGCUUCACUCCACAAAAUUGUAAAGAAUUCUUUUAUUUUUUAUUUUUAAAGAAUUUAUGAUUAUUAAAGGGAGGGAGAAGGUUCGAAAUUGUUUAAAAUUAUUACAAUAAUUUAAAAGAUGAGGGAUUCGAACCCGGGACGCAUGGGUAUAGACCAACACCAUUCUUCAAACACUGCAUGAAUGAUACACAAAUUUCACUGCUUAUUAUCAAGAUCAUAUAUAUUAUAAAUCACUCCGUAAAUAUUAUCUAUGGAAAAAAAAAAUUAACAUGAGCUACGAAAUCUGUUGCUGGCUACUGGCCCAUUUUGGUGAUUAUUGAUUUUGUAGAGAUACUAAAGACGUGUGUAUUGCUUCUGAGGAAGAAAAAAAAGGCCGUGUGUAUGAUGUAUCGAAAAUAAUUUCGUGGUUUGUUGCAAGUUUUGAUGAUUGACUGUUGCGUCCUGGCACCUUGUCACUGAUGUUGGUGAUUGUUUGUUGCAAGUUGGAGCAUGAAGCUGCUAUAUAAUUUAUCAAUACAAAUUAAAUAAUAUGAUGUCCAUCAAUGUUCCAUCAAUCCAUCGUGGCAUCCUGGACUAGUAACGCACCAGCAAACAAGUCGCCCAAAUGCUACAGUAGUCCUUGUUGAGAUUGUUGAGAUCAGAUUACAUUGGAUGCUCUGCUGACCAAAGAUGAAAUCGAGCAACAAAGUUUGUACAUAAAACGCGUAAGGCCGGGAAGGGGGCCUAUUGGCUUACUGUGUGUUUGCCGCUACCAUUCACUGUGACCUGUGAGUAGUCAGCUGGCUUUAAUAAAAGGUAUGAACUGAUGGUGACGUUUCAUCUACCUUUCUUCAUGUGUGAACGCGUUGAUUUUUUGUACGCGGAAGGUAAAGGUACUUGAGUUGGCUUCUUCUCUGUGAUGAUUUUCUAGGAAAGCCUGAGCACCUUAAAAUUUUCAAUAACUUAAUAAAUCCCAUUCAUCUCAAGUAUCCCCUUCUCUUUCUUUGAUAUAUUACCAAGCGCUCGCUUCUUUCUCUUCUUUUUUACUCACAAGUUACAAGUCUACUGUUAGUUCCUUGAGAGAAACACAAACAGAUGGAGUGUGUAAUGACUAUCUUGCAGAUGUGCUGCAGAUCGUUAACAUUUUCUUCUCCGUCAUCUGCAGCAGCUGCUGCUGGUGAUGAUGAUGAUGAUAAUGGUAUUGAAGCUGAUAUCCCCCCUCGUCGGGAGAAGUAUGAUGUAUUUAUCAAUUUCAGAGGUGAGGACACCCGCAAUGGUAUUACCAGCCAUCUUCAUGCCGCCUUACUUCAGAAGAAAAUUGAAACCUACAUAGAUAACAGACUUCAAAAAGGAGAAGAAAUCGGACCUGCCCUUCAAGAGGCAAUCGAGAAAUCCACACAGUCGGUGAUCAUUUUCUCACAAAACUAUGCUUCUUCCACAUGGUGUUUGGAUGAGCUUGUGCAUAUAAUCGAAUGCAAUGAAAGAUAUGGCCAGAAGGUUAUACCCGUAUU
rnacentral:lncRNA from 1 species